UCACACAUUGUACCACCAUUAACCCGUUGUUUUCUUUCCCCUUCCUACUGCCACACCUUGUACCACCAUUAACCUAUUGUUUUCUUUUUGUUUCUCUAUAUAGUCGUCGUACAUUGAACCGUUGAACCUCUCUUGAUUAUUCCCUUCCACUGUCGUCACCUCUACUACUAUUUGGGUUGUCGAUCUUCCUUCCUUCCUUGAGGGAUUCCUUAUUCAUUCGAUACACUAUUGGUGAUUAAAUCCAUAGUCUUUAGAAAAAAAUCGGUAAGUUAUACAUUUGUAUCAAUUAAACAUUGAUUCUAGGAAAUUUAACUGAAUUACGGCUCUUUCUUCUUUUUCGUUUAACCGAUUACAUUUAGAUUUAACCAAAACUUUGUCAUUGAUUCUAACAUUAAGUAGUUUCAUGUGAAUGAUGUUAAACGGCCAGAUUUGGGAGAGGUGGAUCAAAUCUAAACUUGAGGAGUGUCGAAUGGACUAGUAGAGAAGGUGUGUAUCUUGAUUAGUGUUGUAAUGCGUGUGUGUCGGCAUUCAGCCGAAUGCAUAUGUGCUACCCUUGUGAUUUUUGGUUGUUAAUUUCAUAUCUUGAUGAUGAUUAAAUACCUAUAAUGAUUUCAGUUUUGCUAAGUAAACCUGGAUCUGGUAUAAAAAUAACCUUUGAACCUGUAUCGAAAAACCGUCAAUUGAAUUUAUUGGGUAACGAAACUAUGUAUGAUAGAUCUAAUAAACUUUGAAUUGUUAUGUUGAUAAUGUAUGUGAUGUAAACCCUGUCUUAAAUCUGCCAUUGCUACUAAUGCAUGUUUACUACUACUAUUAAAAUAACAAUCUGUUUCUGAAUACAUGAAAGUUGUAUGUCAAUACUGCUAUCGUUACUAUUUUUUUAUUUGAAAAAGCAUGUCAUGCUAUUGCAUCGUGAUUGGGAUAUUGAAGGUGAAAGUAUAGGCUCUAAAUGUUGGGCCAGUUCACCGAUCAAAACUAGUAUUAUAUUGGCAGUUCAAUGUAGCAAUUGCAUCAUCCCAAUGAGUCAAGACAAAAUUAGGAGGAAAGAACCGGUCACUACCUCGAAGCUUGGUUCCAUUCAUUUGUGUUACAAAAUAGAUUUAGAAUAGUUUUCCUUUUAGUUUAGUAUUCUAACUUAUAUGAUAUUGAUUGUGUUUAUAGAUGUUUAGGUUGAGUAGCUUAUGUAUUUGCUUGAAUUAGUAGUUAAUGUGUAAUUUAUGUUUUAAUUUCUAAGUGUUGUGUAUUCCACCCUUUCAAUAUUCUUUUUUCUCUCGGGAUUCGAUCGUCGGAGUAUGAGUAGUGUCCAAUAUACUCUAAUUUUUACAGCCCCGUUUUAGGCUAAAAUGUGCAAAGUCUAAUUUUUCAUAAGUUUUCGUGUGUUUUGUAUUUUUUAUAAUUUUUUCGAUGUUUUAUUUAGUUUUUAGCAUAAAAAUUAAUAAAAAUUGAUGGUGUGUUGUUCUAUUGUGUAACCAAAAUAGCCUACAUCGCAACCAAGGUUGUCAGUAUCGCACCGGUAGGUGUACCGUUUUUCUACUAGAAUUGAUGUGUACCGACACCAAUUUGUUCCAAAUUUUUACAAAUAAAUUUCAGAUGAAUGAUAUAAAAAUAUUUACAAAUAUCAAAUGAAUGAUAUUUAAUAAUUUUCAAAUAUUAAAUAUUCAUGCUGUAAUUGAAGCACAAUUUUCGGCAAAUGUUUUCAUUAUUUAUUACCAUAAUGGUAAAAUGUUAGAAAAUUUAUAUUUUUUUAAUAUUAUUCAUGAAUAGAGGUGAUCAUGGGUUGGGCUACCCAGCCCAGCCCGACAGCCCGCCUAUAAAAUAGGACGGUUCAGGUAAAAAUAUAAGCCCAAAAUAUGGGUUUGGGCAAAAAACGAGGCUCGUUUAGAAAAUGGGUUAGGCCUCAGGCAAAACUUUUUUGGCCCAGGCCCGGCCCGGCCCGGCCAAGCUCAGGCUUAGCAAUUUUCUUUCGGGCUGGGCUUGGGCCUAGAAAAUAGUCCUAAAAUUUUGUCUGGGCCCGGCCCGACCUAACCCAUGAUCACCUUUAUAAUAAUGCACUAGUUGUGCAGAAUGUUGGACUGGUGUGACCAAAAUUGGACGAAAUAGGUUGUUGCGACCGAUAUGUACCAAAAUUUUAGUCGAUGUGAAAAACAGGAGUUGGUUGCAAUAAUUUAUUAUCGGAACGGUGAGCAUCGACUGGAAUGGUAGGAACCAAUAUGGAACCGACUUCAUUGAUCACAACACCAUGAUUGAGCGUCAUAAUGCCAUGUUGGAAGAUUGAAACAUGAAAGUUUGAUGAUCCUAAAUGGGCAUUCUUGUACUUUCACUCUUAAGUAUCUUAAAUCACUACAAAAACCAUCUUUAUCUCAUAUUUAACAACAUGUUUAAAGAAGAUGGAUCUCUUCUCCGUGAAGGAUGUUGCAUCAAGCUUCACAUCUCUUGUGUAUUAUCUCAAUUUAUGUUAAUUAAAGAGUUUAGCCAAUGGUAAAAUUGUACUGUCCAUGGUAAUCGUGUUAUGAUGUCAUACAAUUUUUGUGAUUCCAAUGCAUUAGAAAAGAGAUGAUUAAUAUUUGAGAGGACAAAAGAAAAAGAAGGAAGAUGAAAGAAUGAGUAAUAUGCAAUAGAAGCAAAAAUUUCUAAAGUAUAUUUUACUAUAACGUAACCUAAGAAUAUUACAUUUGUGUUGAAUUUAAUGUACAAGAUGAAGUCCAAGAUGAUGUCCAAUGAUAUCUGAGACUAGGUUAAUAGUUGAGGAUGUUGAGAAUAUUGACUCAGAUUUUGAUCAGCCCCCUAAGUAGAUCCUCAAGCCCUUCUGCGAAGUCUUGAAGGCAAGACUAUGAUAAUUUGAGUUCAUUCUGAACUUUCUCAAUUUGCAUAAGGUCAGUUUUACUUGUUGCAAGGGACAGCAGUGAGGCUUCAGCAUUUGCCAUUUCUUUGAUAUGCUGUUCUCCUUUGCUGUUGACUCUUUUUGUGUGCAAAAGCUUUGAGACUAACGACUAGGGGCUCGUAUGUGAUUCUUUUUGGACCUCAAAAGUGUUGAAACAUUUUCAAGUAUUUAUAGUGUUCCAAUAAGUAUAAAUGAAUGGAUGUAAUUAAUCAAAAGAUUAUAUUAUUUGAUUUUUUGAAAAAAAAGUUAUAACUAUUUAAAUAAUAUUGAAUAGUUAUAAUAUUAAAUGAAUAAUUAUGUAUUUUUUUAAAGACAUUAUUAUUCAAAAAGACACCUACUGGUGAAAGAUGUCUCUGUGAAGAGACAUGAAAAUUCCUAUAAAUAAGAAUGAGAUUUUAUUUGGAAAAUAUACCAAAAAAUUCUAAUAUUCUUUCUUUCCUUCCUUCAUUUUCUAAUAUUAUUAGAUUAUUCUAUAAAGUGUUACUGUAGAAAUCCUUUGUAGAAAUUGAGUUUCUUGUUAUACAUUGCUCAGUGCAUAGUGGACUAUUCUUGUCAGUGUAAAACGCAAAUAGUCAUUGGCUUCAUUGUAUUUUCGAGGUUAAUUAGCUUGGAACUCAUUUCCAAACCGAAGAUAUGUGGGGGUGAAUAUAACCUUAAAGAUAGUGACUUGAUACACGCCUUGAAGCCUUGUCCUAUUUCUUAUUUUAUCAACUUUAAAGAUUGCUUAUGUUUUGGAUACUCCAAAACCUGAAGAGAAUGAAAACGAAUCUGUUGCUGCAACCCAAGAAAGACAAAAAUGGGACAAUGCUGAUUACAUGUGCAUGGGCCACAUAUUGAAUGGUUUAUCUGAUGUUUUGUUCGACACCUACCAAAACGAGGUUACCGCUAAAGAAUUAUGGGACAAAUUGGAGACAAGAUACAUGACCGAAGAUGUUACAAGUAAGAAAUUUCUUAUCAGUCGUUUUAAUAAUUAUCAAAUGGUUGAUGGUCAUUCUAUUAUGGAACAAUUCCAUGAUAUUGAAAAGAUGCUGAAUCAAUCCAAACAAUAUAAUAUGAAAAUGGAUGAAAUGAUUGUUGUAUCCUUCAUAAUAGACAAACUUCCUCCAUCUUGGUAACACUUUAAAAGAAGUCUAAAACAUAAGAAAGAGAAAAUAUCUCUUGAGGCAUUGGCAAAUCAUCUUCGUAUUGAAGAAGAAUAUCGAAAAUAAGAUCAGAACCUAAAUUCUGAAAAUGUCAAAGUGCAUGUUACGGAGAAAGUACAGACUACUAAACCAUUCAAGAGAAAGUUCAAACACACUGAUAGAGCACCUAAGUUCAAAAAGAAACAAAAGGGCUCAUGCUAUCAUUGUGGAAAGCCAGGACAUUUCAAGAAUGAAUGUCUAUUUUUAAAGAAGAAAUCAUCUUCUAAGGCUAAUAAUAACGAAAAGUUCGUUGCAAUGAUAUCUGAAAUUAAUAUGGCACAAGAUGAUAAUACAUGGUGGAUUGAUACUGGAGUAACUAAACAUGUGUGCAAAGACAAAAACAUGUUCACAAAGUUCACACAAUGUGAAAAUGACAAUGUCUUGUACAUGAGAAAUUCUUCCAGCGUAGCAAUAAAAGGCAAAGGGUCUGUUGAACUACAAUUCACUUCUGGAAAGGUUUUAACCUUAAAUGAUGUAUAUUAUGUACCAAAAGUUAGGAAGAAUUUAGUGUCUGGAAGUCUGUUGAAUAAGUUUGGUUUCAAACUUGUUUUUGAGGCAGAUAAGUUUAUUUUGUCCAAGCGAGGAAUUUUUGUGGGGAAAGGGUAUAUGUAUGAGAGUAUGUUCAAACUCAAUAUUUUUAAUAAGAAUAAAAAUACUAUUUCUGCUUAUAUGGUUGAAUCUUUUUGUUUGUGGCAUUAUAGAUUAGGUCAUUUGAAUUAUAGAAAAUUGAAUGACAUAUAUAAGUUAGAUUUAAUUCUUGUUUUUAAUAAUAAUAUUGAAAAAUGAAAUACAUGUAUGUUGACAAAAAGUACAAGAAACCCUUUCCCUAAAGUUAAAAGGAAAACAAAAUUGCUUGAUUUGAUACAUAGUGAUUUAUGUGCAUGCAUAAUAAUCCUACAUUAGGUGGAAAUAAAUAUUUUGUUACUUUUAUUGAUGAUUGUUAUAGAUAUUGUUAUGUAUACUUAUUGCAUUCAAAAGAUGAAGCGCUUGAUAAAUUUAAAGUUUAUAAAUCUGAAGUUGAACUUCAGUGUGAAUCAUUUAUCAAGUGCUGAAGAUCAGAUAGAGGUGGAGAACACUAUAAUCCAAGUACUGAAGGUUUUGGACAAGGUUUUUGGGUAGAAGUUGUUCUAACAGCUUGUCAUUUAUUGAAUAGAGCUCCUAAUAAAGAAACCAAAAGAACCCCCUAUGAACAAUGGAGGAAAGGAAACCAAACCUUAAUUAUUUGAAGGUUUGGAGUUGUAGAGCUAUUGUUAAAAUUCUAACACCUAAACGUAAAAAGUUAGGUGAAAGAGAAAUUAAACACAUAUUUAUAGGUUAUACACAUAAUAGCAAAGCAUAUAGGUUCAUGGUAAUUGAACCAAAUGAUUCAAUUUCAAUUAAUACUGUUAUUGAAUCAAGAGAUGCUAUUUUUUAUGAAAAUAGAUUUAAUUCUAUAUCAAGACAAUUACAGCCACAACAAUUGAUUCAUUCUUCAAAUGAGAAUGAGAUUCCAUUGAAACAAAUUGAUAAUAAUGAUGAAUCUUGUCAAGAAUUAAGAAGAAGAAUUAAAUAACAUUAUUUGAAUAUUUAUAAUAUUAAAUGAAUAAUUAUGUGUUUUUUUUAAAGACAUUAUUAUUUAGAAAGACACCUAUUGAUGAAAGAUGUCUCUUUGAAGAGACAUGAAAAUUCCUAUAAAUAGGAAUGAGAUUUCAUUUGUAAAAUACACCAACAAAUUCUAAUAUUCUUUCUUUCCGUCCUUCAUUUUCUAAUAUUAUUAGAUUAUUCUAUAAAGUAUUACUGCAGAAAUCCUUUGUAAAAAUUGAGUUUCUUGUUAUACAUUGCUUAGUGCGUAGUGGACUUUUCUUGUCAGUGUAAAAUGCAAAUAGACAUUGGUUUCAUUGUAUCCUCAAGGUUAAGUUCCUUGGAACUCAUUUGCACACCGAAAAUUGGUGGGGGUGAAUAUAACCUUAAAGAUAGUGGCUUGAUACACGCCUUGAAACAUUGUCCUAUUUCUUCUUAUUCUAUUCAAGUUCCGUUCGUGUGUUCAAGAUUUUUCUCACUGGAGUUUUGUACAAACAAAAAGUAAAGGAGAACAAGGACUCUAGCAUGCUAAGAGUGACUGCUUGAACCUCCCUUAAGAUGCUAACCGUGGCAUAGGUCUCGUUCAAAGCGGUGCUUUCCUCGUGCUUCAAAUUCUUCAAGGUCUUCAAGAUUGCCCUUUUAGCUGCCUUCUUAGAGCUCAAGUAUUUUCUAACCUCAUUAGCAAAGCCUUUUGUAGCACCUCUCUUUCAGCACAAGAUAGAUUGAAGUUCUACAGUGCGUUCCUUUACUUGCAAUACGACAUCCUUGGCAGUGGUGAAUACAUCUAAAAGCCCAAGAGAUCCAUUCAACAGCUCAUCGACAUAUUCCCCUUGCUGCUAUGGGAUAAGGUUUGUUGAGUCAAGGGUAGCAGAAGCAGUUUCUCAGUGCAAUCAUGUAAAUCGUGAAGUCUACCGAGUUUUUGGUUUAAGGACGACGAUGUAGAUGCCGACUCAGACGAUGCCAAUCUGCUCAAAUGCUCAUCAACCUUGGAAGCAAGAGGGUGGGCUCGAGAGGGAAAGCUAUUGGAACGAUUGUGGUAACCAGUGGUAGCCAUUAUUUCCUCUGGAAAUAACAACUUGGAAGUUGUGAUCUGAAUUCAAUUUGCCUUUUCUUCCCUUCAUCUACCUAAUAUAUAUAUGCAUAUAUUGUGUGAAAGAGGAGACAUGAAGAAUCUCACCCUUCAAAAUUGAAGUCAUGAGGUAACAUGAACUUGAUACCAAUCUGAACUACUAUGUCAGCAUGGUUGAGCGAUGUCUCCCUCCUAACAUGCUCCACAACUCAUAACAUGAUUCUUUUAAUUAGUAUAUAAGAUUCCUGAUAUAAUAAAACUAUACUAUAUAAUGGGGCUAUGCACGAGUGGCUUUAAGCUUGCUUCAACUGACAGUGGCUACUUGUCUAUUAUUUGGAGACAAGAGACUAAUUUAUGUAACUAUUAUUGUUUAAUCAUUUCCAUCAACAUCGACUUGAACAUGUGCAUGCAAUUAACACGGUUGAGUUUAUUAAUUUCUUGUCGUGCAGGAGGCGGGCAAGAUCUGCAAUCUCAACCUGUACAUAGUUUGCAACUUAUAGAAAAAUGGGUGGAGUUUAAUGAUCAAUGCAGGAUGACAAAGCUGUGAGCAUAACUGAGAGACAGUUUUCGUUAAAUAAUGGACCUUUUAAACACAAAAUUAAAUACAGAUUAAAAUCAAAAUCAAAAUAAUUGGAGUAAAAAUGGCAAGGGGUAGGACAAGAUCCACUUUCGUAUCCUUUGCUCCCUUUUCUCCUCACAGAACCGAAGAAACUAUUGUGAUCGACAGACUAUGAUUUAUUUUCUUAAAGCGUGUGAGAUAUGCAUGUAUCUACCAUGUCAUAGUCAAAGUAAUCAAAUUGUUAAAACUUAUCAAAACAGGAAUCCUGACAGCUCAUGCAUUCAUAGCAGAAUCGCAUCAAAUCUGGAAUUUGGGUUUGGAGUUGGAAUUCCAGUAUCUAUAAUCUCGUAAAAAGAAAAGUUCAAUUUGCUAGUUCAGAUAUUGGUGGACAAGAUUUAAUGAAAAGAGAGAAAGUUGGUGGAACGAAGACUGUAUAAUUUUUUGUUUUAACAAUAGUUGUAUACAUGUAAGUUAUAAUUAUGUACAAGUUUACAAUGCCAAGAUUUCAACAGUUGACAAUGUUUAGAACAGUGACUCUAGCUUUGAUCAAACGCCUGAAGAAGCUUUCAAGACCUUCUUCAAGGUCUUGGAUGCACAACUCUGAGUUUUGGAGCUCAUUUUGCACAUUCUCAACAUGCUUCACGUUUCCAGAUUUAAUGAAGGAACGCAAUGCGGCUUCAGCAUUCGCGAUUUCAUUUGUUUUCUCUUCUUCUUCCUCGCACCUUACUCUUUUCUGGUGCAUUAACUUUGAAACUACUGACCACCGGCUCGAUGCCUCUGGCCCUGAAAUAAAGGACAACAAGGAUUGUAACACGCCCAUGGUGGCUGCUACUACUUGUUUUAAGGUGCUAAUCACGGCUCCGGUCUCACCGUCUUUGCUCAUAAGUUUAUUGUCCAUAUGCUUCAAGUUCUUGAAGGCCUUGCUUAUUGCCUUUCUCACUUCCUUCUUGGAGGUUAAGUAUUUUCUAACCUCAUCACCAAACCCUUCAACUUCUCCUCGUCUUCGGCCCAAAACCGAUUGGAGUUCUUUAGUGCAUUCCUUGAUUUGCAACAAGGCAUCUUUAGCGGUUCCGCAUACAUCCAGGAGCACGAGAGAUGCAUCCAAAACUUGUUCAACCAAUUUCCUUUGCUGGUCUUGAGCUAGAGCUUGUUGAGUGAGGGGAAACUGAAGCAACAUAUCCACAUAGUCGUACAAAUCUUGAAGAUAGGUCAGUUCGUACAAAUCUUGAAGAUAGGUCAGUUCAUGUCCUGUGGAUGACGAAGAUGUAGAGGCCGAUUGAGAUGCCCUCAAUCGGUUUAGAUAUUCAUCAAUUUGUGAAGUGAUGGGGUGUUGCCUUGAAGGCAAGCUGUUUGAGCGAGCAUGGAAAGAAGGUUGGACAUUCAAAGGAGAGGCAGCCAUUUCUUUGUUUUAGAGAAGAAAGAAGGCCUUGCAAUUGCAAUUGUGUGUUUCAACUCACUCUACCUAUUUGCUGUCUUCCCAUUGUCAUCUGCUAAAUAUAUAUAUAUUACAGGCUGAGGGUGGACAAGAGGAAUCUCAUCCUCUUUAAAUAUCAAUUACAAGUAACAUGAACUAGAUUUGGAUCUACAAAACUGUUCAUGUGUUGUCUCCUUUCCACCGUCAAAACAACUCAUUACCCUUUAGCAAAUACAAUCAAAACUUAUCUUCAAUAGCAUGAUAAUAAUAUAAAAAUAUACAAAUACACACGAUGGUGCUGAGAAAGUAUAUAGGCAAUGGCCAUUUGCUUUUCCGUUCUUCCCUUAUAUUAAUGCCUCAUUGCUUUCAACUUGUCUGCUGGUUAUCACCUUACGUUUGGCAAAAGGGAGGCAAGAUCCGCAUGCUUGACUUGUAUACUAUAAUUUUUAGCAAGAAAGCAUUUCUUGAAGAUUCGAUUGUCCCUUAACUAACAAUUUUUUAUGAUGCAGCUCGUGUAUGAUCUGAAUCAACCAUGUGAAUGUCAAUUGAAUUUUUUAUUAGUUUCUAAUAAUGUGUUUGUGGAUUGAGACGGUAGGAUUCUUGACAUUGAAGAAGAUGAUUCAGGGAUAGUCAAGAAGAGUUCAUUUUUGAAGACUUAUUUCUCUAUUUUUAUUUAUGUUUUAAUUGAUAGAUUGAGUCAGCUCAGUCCGAAUCUGGUUUAACAACCUUCCCUCAAUUGAAACAUCAAACAUUUGAAUUUAUGGCUUAAAAAAUCGAAAGUUAGAAAAUCAGUCUUGAGGUUCUUGCUAAGUUGGUGUUUAAAACAGAAUGGAGUUUAUUCCAGACAAAUGGGAAAAAAAGGUGCAGAUAAAUGCUAGAAAAUGAUAUUGUAGUAUCAAAACUGCAUUUCAUUCAGUAUAUAUAUGUAUAUCUCAUGUCUGUACAAGAUUGGUGUUUACAAAAUUUUCUAAUGAUUGAGUGCGUUGAGAAAAGACACCCUAGCUUUGAUCAUACACCUGAAGAGGCACUCAAGUCCAUCUUCAAGAUCUUGAACGCAAAGCUCCAACUCUUUUAGCUGUCUUGGCAUCUCAACAUUCUCAGAUUUGCUCAUCUUCUGACUCAUUACUGAUCUUAAAGCAGCAUCAACCUUCUCAAAUUCAUUAAUGUCUCUUCUUCCGGUUUGUUCACACGCUAUCCGUUUGUGGUGCAAUAGCUUGGACACUAACGCCCAGCUGCCACACUUCGAUCGUUCCAUUGGCCCUGAGAUGAGGGUGAAUAAGUACUCAAACAUGGAGGAAGUGACUGCUUCAGCCUCCCUUAGCAAGCUAACCAUUGCCUUGGUCUCGUGGUCGUUCGAAGAUGAGAAGAUGCGUUUCGUUUCCACGCCCUUCACAUUCUUAAAUGCCUUGUGGAUAGUCUUCUGCACCACUUUUCUGGAGGUGAAGUACUUCCUCACCUCACCCACAAGCUCGACUUCUCCGCAUGGUCUUCUUCGCAUAACUGAUUGAAUAUCCUGUAUACUUCCUUUUGUUUGCAACAAAAUAUCCUUAGUAGUGUUGCACAGGUCAAAGAGCCUAAGGGAUCCAUCCAACAAUUCAUCAACAGGUCCCUUGUUUUGUUCUUGAGCUAAUUCUUGUUGGGAAAAGGGCAACCGCAGCAACUUAUCCACACAAUCAUACAAAUCCUGAAGGCCAUUUAGCUUAUGGCUUAUUGAUGAUGACGUUGACGUUUCUUUGGAGUCCCUUAAUCUGUUCAAAUGUUCAUCAAUCUCUGAAACAAGUGGAUUUGGUCUAGAUUGCAAGGGGAAGCUGUUAGAACGAGCGUGGUGAGUUGUUUGGGCUGCCAUUUUUCUUUCUUCUUCAGGGGAACAGCCCAAUGGUUGAAUGUUUCUACCUAUUAUUUGCAAUAGCAGCAGUAGGCAUCAGCUCCAUUUUAUAUAUACAUCAGGUCAUACAGACAAAAGGAAUCUUAAAUACUUAUUUAAUCAGCAAUUUCUUAUUGUUUCUUCACUCAAUUUGGAUAUCGAUCUGAGAACUCUGUCAGCGUUGUUUAUGCAAAAUGUCUUCCCUCAACCAGCUCUCCAGCUCAGGGCUGUCCAAUUAAGUUAACAUCAUCCAAUUUCGCCGUGCACAAGUUAGCUGUUGUCAUUGUAUAAUUGAAAUAAGACAACUGCAAACAAUAAAUAUUUGCACAAGUGCAGCUACAUAUUCUAUCCAUUUCUAUAUGAUAUUGUGUCCCUUGGAAGUCGGAACCUAACAUUUUCAUUUUUUCUCCUCAUAAAAGAAGUGACAUUAUAAUACACACGCACACUAAAUUAAAAGAUCAUGUACUGUAAUUGUAUAUUUUACCAAAUUUCCUCCUGUUGGGUGUUUUACUGAGCAUUUUUUGAGGCAAAUACAGACUGUUUGAACUUUUAUCCAAUGCCUACUUGCUGUUCAUCCUCCUCAUUCACAUGUUCAGAUGCUCCAUUAUUCUAACCAAAGUAGAAUGAUUAAAUCAAAUGUCUUUAGGGUUUCGAAAUAAUUGCUAAACAAGAUCCUGUAGGAUGAAAUUGGCUUCUGAGUAAUUCAUUUUACUAUUCACAAUUUGUUAUCAUUUGAAGUAUGCAUGACCGCGUUCACCAUAUGAUGGUCAAGCUUUCAAUUAUCUCUAAGGACGACAUAAAAGGAAUCAUGACAGAUCAGAUAUUCACAAAGUUUCUCAGCUUCCAAAUUUGGUGAUGGAGACUGUCAUUCAACUUGCAAAACUAGAUCUUAAUCUAACAGGCUUAAAAGGUGCACCAAACCAUUCUGGAAUGAUUAUUAAAAUUUAUCCCCUAAGAAAACAGAAGAAAAUUGUGGGAAAAACAAUUAGACCAUAUAACUUUCCUAUUACUAGCAAAACAGUAGAAAAUUGAUCAAUAUUUGGAGAAAUAAAACAAAGAAAAUGAUAAAAAAUAUAAUUAAAAGAGAAAAAAAAUUGUAUAUGGAAGAAAUAAAAUUCCUUAUAAUAAACUUUUUAUUUCAAUCACUCUACUUAAAUUCUUCAUCACAUACAACUCUUUAUAUAGGAGUUGUAAGUGACUAUUCAUCUAUAUCACUAAAUGCUAGGAGUUGUCACUAUUCAUUUACAUAACUUGAAUACUAUAAGAGUUAUGACUAUCCAUGCAUGUGUAUAACUUUUCAUAUUCAAGUCUCUUCACUCUUCAUAAUGUGUGUAACUUUUCAUCUUCAAGUCUCUUCACUCUUUUAACUUUUCAUAAUUUAUUUGUACAAGAUUAAUUUAAUUAUGUGCCAACAAUGCCUCCCUUAAAUUAAACUUGCUUCGAACUCCCAACCUUUCAACAUUUUUCUUGAAGACUUGUCCACUAAGCGGCUUUGUGAAGAUAUCAGCCAUCUGAUCUUCUGUCUUGCAAUAUUCAACUUGAAUAUCACCAUUAUUCACUAGUUCCCUCAAGAAGUGAUACCGAAUGCGAAUGUGUUUUGUCCUUCUAUGAAGAACUGGAUCUUUUGUGACCGAAAUAGUAGAACUAUUGUCCCAAAACAAAAUCGUUGACUUGCUCUGCUUCUGCUUAAGACUCUCCAAAAUUCCACGUAACCAAAUCAAUUGACAUCCUGCAUAAGAUGCAACGAUAUAUUCAGCUUCUGUAGUCGAAAGCGCCACAAUUGAUUGUUUCUUUGAACUCCAUGAAACUGCACCACUACCAAGGUGAAAAACAUAACCAGAAGUGCUUCUGCUAUCAUCAAUGCUUCCUGCUAAAUCACUAUCCGUAUAACCAAUGAGAUCAACUAAUGUAUUAGCUUGAUAGAAAAUUCCAUAAUCAAUGGUUCCCUUCACAUAUCUCAAUAUUCUCUUGGCAGCCUCCCAGUGAUUGGAGUAAGGUUUCUCCAUGAAUCUACUCACCAAGCUAACAGCAUACACGAUGUCAGGCCUUGUCGAAGUCAGAUACAUCAACUUCCCAACCAAACUUCUGAAUAUGGUGGAAUUGACAAGCUUUCCUUCACCCUCUUUAGAUAACUUCAAACCUGUAAUGCAUGGAGUAGAGACUGGAUUCGCAUUUUCCAUCAUGAACUUUUUAGAACUUCCUUUGCGUAGCUCUCUUGUGAAAUAAAAAUUCCUUUCUCGGAUUGAUGAACUUCAAUGCCUAGAAAAUGAUGAAGUUCUCCCAAAUCUGUCAUCUUAAAUUCUGCCAUCAUUGAGUGCCAAAAUUCUUUCAACAUCUUCACAUCAUUUCCUGUGAAAAUAAGAUCAUCAACGUAGAAACUUACAACCAUGAAUCUUCCUUGAGAAUUUCCUUUGAUGUAGAGAGUAUGCUCAUAUGGAGAUUUCUGGAAUCCACACUUCUGAAAAUAAGAAUCGAUGCGGCUGUACCAAGCUCGGGGUGAUUGCUUCAACCCAUACAAAGUUUUCUUCAACUUGUAAACUUUUUCUUCUUCUCCUUUUUUGACAAACCCUGGUGGUUGAUCAACAUAGACUUCUUCUUUGAGAACACUAUUCAAAAACGUAGAUUUUACGUCUAUUUGGAACAUUUUCCAAUUGUUUUGGGCAGCAAGAGAAAUAAGUAACCGAACUGUCUCAAGUCUUGAAACUGGAGCAAAUACCUCUAUAAAAUCUUCUCCUUCCUUUUGCUUGUAUCCUUUUGCAACCAAUCUUGCCUUGUACUUGUUGAUAGAGCCAUUCGGAUUCAUCUUUGUCUUGUACACCCAUUUGACUCCAAUUGAAUUCUUGUGCGGUGGUAAAUCUGUGAGUUCCCAUGUAUCAUUGUUUUCAAUUGAGCAAAUCUCUUCUUUCAUGGCUUUCCUCUAUAUUUCUUCUUGAUAUGCAUCAUCAAAAGAAAUUGGAUCUCCUGCAAAGAAAAAAAAAGAAUACAGUAUCAUUUUGCACAACUUCAUCCGUUACAUCAUAUAACUCUUGGAUGCCUCUCGUUUUUCGGAUCGGGCUGGAUGAAGAAGAAUUUGAUGAAGAACUUGGGGAAGCAGGAGGAUUUCCUACUUGAGCAUCAUCUUCAGCAUUCUUAAUUACUGCCUCUUCUUCUUCUUCAAGUUUAAAAGGAAAAAUUGGCAAAUUUUUUUUUUCAACUUCCAUUUCUUCAAACAUGGAAUUUUCAUCAAACCGAACAUCUCGGCUUAUCACAAUCUUCUUUGUCACCGGAUUGUACAACUUGUAUGUCUUACUUCUUUCACUAUAGCCAAUGAAAAUGCAUUUCUCUGACUUGUCAUCCAACUUGCUUCUCAUUGCAUCUGGAAUAUGAGAGUAAGCAACACUCCUAAAUACUCUAAGAUGACGAACACUAGGCUUUAUACCAUACCACGCCUCAUGUGGCGUGCAAUUCUCCAAGCUUCUUGUCGGUGAUCUGUUUAUAAGAUAAACUGCACAGGAAACAGCUUCAGCCCAAAAUCUUCUUGAUAACCUCUUCUUCUUAAGAAGACAUCUAGCCAUUUCCAUAAUUGUUCUGUUCUUUCUUUCACACAUACCAUUUUGCUGAGGUGUAUGGCGGACUGUCAUUUCAUGCGAGAUGGCACUAUCUCGGCAAUAUUUCUCAAAUUCUUUUGAAAAAUAUUCACCUCCACGAUCUAUCCGUAAGGUGUUAAUUUUUAGCCCAGUAAAGUUCUCCACUUCUGCCUUGAAAUCUUUGAAUCUCUGAAAAGCCUCUGAUUUUUCUUUGACACAAUACACCCAUAACUUUCUUGAGUAAUCAUCAAUGAAAGAGAUAAAGUAACGAUUAUCUCCCAAAGAUGAAACUGUCAUUGGACCACAAAGAUCCGAGUGAAUAAGUUGCAAUGGUCUUCUUGCUUUCCACGAGGAUUGAGAAGGAAAAGCAAUUUUGUGUUGCUUUCCAAGUUGACAUGCUUCACAAACAUCAUCAAGCUGAUCGAUUUUUGGUAAACCUCUGACCAUCAUCUUCCUUGAAAGCAUCUCCAAAUUUCCAUAGUUCAAAUGUCCAUAUCUAUCAUGCCAUAACUUUGAAAUUCUUUUAUGAGCACCAAUAAAGCAAGACAUAUUCUGAUUUUGAACGGUGAGAGAGAAAAGAUUAUUUGAUGCCACUCCAACUCUAGCAACAACCUGAUUUUUCUUUGACAAAUAGCAAGCCAUGUCACGGAAAUGAAUAUCAUACCCCUUCUUCAAGAGAUGCCCAACGCUAAGCAGAUUAUUUUUAAGACCAAGAACAAAAUAAACUUCAGAAAUUUUCUCUACCCUUCCUUGCUUUGUUUUGAACUCCAACUCACCAACACUGCUAACUUUGUAAGCUUUGCCAUCUCUUAUUUUUACUUCUCCACAAUCAGAUUCAAAGAACUUUGAAAAUAAUUUUUUGUUACCUGUCAUAUGCUUGCUAGCACCACUGUCUAUGUACCAGACAUCAUCAAUCUCUCCACUAUGAGAUAUAAGCAACAAAGUUUCUUGCUUUUGCUCUUGAUUAUUUUGUACUAUAUUAGCGACAAUGAUAACAUUCAAAAUAGCCACGACCUCUUCCUCUUUGAUUUCCAUGUCCACGUCCUCUUUGUGAUCCUCUAAAAUUUUGACUUUGGUUGGCUUCUUUCCAUCCAUUCUCCAUGCUUGCAUCUUCACCUCUUUGACGAGCAUUUGAGCCUCUUCCUCUAAAAUAUCUUCCUCUUCCACGACCACGAUCUCUCCCUCUUUGAUUUUUAAAAUCUCCCUUCUUCUCAUUUAGAGACAACUUUGACUGGAGUGCUUCAUCUAGAUCUACUUCCUUUUUCUUCUUGUUUAAUCUUUCUUCAUGGGCUUGCAACGAACUUGUGAGUUCAUCAAUAGUCAUGGUACUCAAGUCCUUUGAUUCUUCAAUGGCUACCACAAUGUAGUUAAAUCUAGAAUCUAAAGAACGGAGGAUUUUCUCAACACCACAAAUAUCAUCCAUAGUUUCACCAUUUCUUUUUAAUUGGUUGACUAUGGACAAAACCCGUGAACAGUAAUCAGAAACUGAUUCUGACUCUAUUUUUUGCAAUGUUUCAAACUCCCCUCGAAGAGUUUGCAACCGAACUCUUUUCACCUAUUCAUCUCCUUUGAAUGAAUUUUGUAAAAAUUCUCAUGCUUGUUUUGUCGUGGUGGCACAAGCUAUUUUUUCUCAAGCCACUUCAUAUGAUUGAACUCCUUGAUAUAUCCAAAAUAAGGCUUGCUGAUUUUUUUCCUUAAUUUUCUUAGACUCUCUUUUUGAACUUGUGCUAAUCCUUCCUCCUCUUCAGCCUCAACUUCAUUAUAACCUUUUUCAACAAUCUCUCAAACUUCUAGAGAUCCAAGAAGAGCCUUCAUUUGGAUACUCCAUUUGCCAUAAUUUUCUUCGGUUAAUUGGGGAACGGAAGAAAGAGGAAUAGAAUUGUUCAUUUUGAUUGAACAAGGCUCUGAUACCAAUUUGUAGAAAAUUGAUCAAUAUUUGGAGAAAUAAAAUAAAGAAAAUGAUAAAAAAAUAUAAUGAAAAGAGAAAAAAAUUUAUAUGAAAGAAAUAAAAUUCCUUAUAAUAAACUUUUUAUUUCAAUCACUCUACUUAAAUUCUUCAUCACAUACAACUCUUUAUAUAGGAGUUGUAAGUGACUAUUCAUCUAUAUCACUAAAUGCUAGGAGUUGUCACUAUUCAUUUACAUAACUUAAAUACUAUAAGAGUUAUGACUAUCCAUGCAUGUGUAUAACUUUUCAUAUUCAAGUCUCUUCACUCUUCAUAAUGUGUGUAACUUUUCAUCUUCAAGUCUCUUCACUCUUCAUAUUCAAGUCUCUUCAUUCUUUUAACUUUUCGUAAUUUAUUUGUACAAGAUUAAUUUAAUUAUGUGCCAACAGAAACAUGUAAAUUUUCAUUUUUAUAUGAUUAAUGGUUAAGUAUAACUCCUAUUUCACUCAAAUUUGAGAAAUAAUCUUCUAGUUAUAUUCUAUUUAUUUGUUUCAAUCAAAAAUUGAUUAGUUUAGAUUAUUUUAUUAUUAUUUGACAUAUGAAUUUAGCCUAUAAAUAGACCCUUUUACAACCUUAGAAUAAACACCCAUUAGAUAUUAUAACUCAUAACACAUUUAGAGAAUCUUGUGUUUACGUUUUGAGGGUUCUUUGUUUUCAGGUUUUCGAGGUUUAGUUUUUAUCUCCAUCUUUUUGUACUCUUCGUUUCUUUUGCCAUUAUAGUAAAAUUAUCUUUGUCCGUGGUUUUUUAUCCUCUUUGGAGGAGUUUUUCCACGUUAAAUUUGUAUGUUCAAUUUCUCAAUUUCUUCUGUUAUUUUUACUUGUUCCUUACUUAAUCGGGUCAAUCUCUAACAAGUGGUAUCAGAGAUAGUUUAAUUUUCAUAAAUCAGCCCAUUCAGAUAUGGCAGUAACAAGGUUUGAAAUUGAGAAGUUCGAUGGUGAGACAAAUUUUAAUAUGUGGCAAGUUGGGAUGAUGGCAAUUCUAGUUUAAUCCGGUUUGAAAAAGGUUGUUACCGGGAAAAAGCCUGAGAAUCUAAAUAAAACAGAAUGGAAGAGCUUGAUGAAAAGGCUUUGUCUGCAAUCCAAUUGUGCCUUGCGAAUACGGUAUUACAGGAGGUAUUGAUGGAGAAGACCUCAUCUGCCUUGUGGAAAAGGUUAGAAACUCUUUAUGCAACUAAGUCUCUAGCUAACCGUUUAGUGUUGAAACAACAUCUAUUUACGUUUCGCAUGAACGAAGGUGAGCUUCUUAGAGAUCACAUCAGUCAAUUCAUUACUCUUUUAAAUGAUGUUGAGGUUCAUAUUGAUGAUGAAGAUCAAGCUAUGCUAUUACUAUGCUAUUGACCCCGUUCAUACAAGUCUUUUAGGGAGACCCUAAUUUAUGGUAGAGACAAACUCUCAUUCGAAGAUGUGAACACUACACCAAAAUAGGUUUUUAGCGGCGCUUUUUAAGCCACUAAAGGUAUUUGCGGCACUUCCACAAGCGCCGCAAAAAAGGCCGCUAAUGAAAACGUCGCAAACGUUUGCAGCGUUUACAAACAUAAACGCCGCUAAAGACCAUAUUCUUUAGCGGCGUUUUUGUUUGUGCGCCUCUAAAGAACAUGUUCUUUAGCGGCGUUUUUUUCUAAGUGCCUCUAAAGAGCAUGUUCUUUAGCGGCAUUUUUUUUCUAUGCGCCGCUAAAGAACAUGGUUUUUAACGGCGUUUUUUUCUAGGCGCCGCUAAAGAACAUAGUCUUUAGUGGCGUCUUUUUUCUAAGCGCCGCUAAAGAACAUGUUCUUUAGCGGCGCUUUUAUACAAAAACACCACUAUUUUUGGGAUUUUUUUAUAUUAAAUUUUUCAUUUUUUCGGCCCUCCUGUAGCAACAAAUCAAAAGCAACCAGAACUAAACCAGCCAAUAGCAAUAAAUUUAUAUGAUAUUUCAAAUUACAUGAAUAAAAUAAUAUUAAUAUCAAUAAAUAAAAGUACUGUUCAUAAUAUUUUUGCAAAAAAUGUUAAAUGUUAAAAUGAUAAAAAUAUUUAUGUCAUACACUAUGAAGGCGAAAGUUGCGACUUAAACAUCUUCAUCAUAAUCUGAAGCUGCUACUAGAGUUCGUCGUAUUUUUUGCUCUGCUCUGCUUCUCUCGCUGUAGCCUCCGCUUCCCUUGUUGCAGCCGCUGCUUCCCUCGCUUCCGCCUCUGCUUUAAGUUGUAGCUGAAGUUCUUCAUAUUUCCUUUGAACCUCAACUGUGGUCGCUUGCAUCUGAGCCAUCUAGUCUUUUAACCUCUGAACUUCAGCUUGAGCCUGACUCCCCGAAGCCAUGUAUUGGUGGGAGCUGGAUCCAAAAUAUUGGGUUGGGCUAACAAAAGAUCCUUGAAAUCGAACCCGACCAUACCUUUCAGGACCCAAAACUUUAGUAAUAAUCCGGUUAUCAAUGUCUUCAAGAUGAACAGAACUAUCACUAGAAGCAAUCGCUUCGUACUCCGCCUAUUUAUCCUUUAGUUUUUCCUAAUAAAUAUAUCACAUAGUUAGGAACGCAAUAUUAUAUAUUGAAAAACAUAUGCAACAUAACAAUAGUCGCAUUACAAGCAAUGAAUUAAACCAUUAGAAAAUAAACACUAUAAAUAACUAAAAUAAAUCAAAUCGUAUUAAGUAAACGUACCAUUAUUUCACCAGCUUCAGGAGUCAUGGGAGAUCCAUCUUUCAUCCUAUGUGUAAUUUCAAAAAGUUGAAGGCGUCCAACUUUUUGACCGGAUGACAGUUCCUACAAUAUAGUAGUAUAAAUAUUAUUUAAUAGAAAGUUAUACAUAUUCGACAAUAUUAAAAAAAUUAAAAAUACCUCCGCCUCAGCUACACAUGCAAAACUUCUCGACCCGGCUAUGUGGGUGAAUUUUUGUUUCUGCCUGCUGCUUUUUCCAACUUGUUCACAAUCCUACGUUACGAAAUUUUUUAGUACGUAAAUAGAAAAUACUAUAAACCAAAAUAAUUACAAUAGUUUGGAAGUACGUCAUACCUCACCUUUCUUCGAAUGCCAAAAUCUAACCGCAUCUUCCCAUUGGUACCUCAACAUACCCGGCGGGACAUUUUUCAAUUUCUCAUCGAGGGUUGUUUUUGUCUUAUAAUAAUUUUUCUUCAAACUACUUUUGUUGUCUCUCCAUCUUUUUCCCAAUGCCUUCUUUACAUAAACAUCCGAGACCUCUAAAGCAAACCUCGCCUACAAAAAAAAACACAAGUUAAUAAAGUAAAUAUAAAUGAAACUAUUUCCCAAGCAUUACAGAUGACAUUAACAUUUUGUUACCUUAAUAUUAUCGAGGGCUUGGUUUUUGUUGCUAUCGGGCAUUUGAGGCCAUGACUCGUAGUUGAUAGGCAACAUAUUCAGAUUUCGUGCUAAAAUGCCCAUGUAUCCUGCUAAAAGUCGAGCUUCUAAUCCAACAGGCUGACCAAAACUGUUUCGUCCAACUUUGACACGCUCAACUGGAUCUAACUCGUAUAACUCUCUAAGUAGCGUACGUCCUCGACCUCUGCGCGUCCCACCAUUUUCAGCUACAAAUGGUAUAUUAUAAUAUAAGAAUUUGAAAAAUAAAUCAACUAUAACAGAAACACGCAUGUAAAUUAAAUGUAAAAUUACUUUGAACUUCUGUAGGAUCCUCAGCUGUAAUCGAAACAUUCGAAGAUCCAACUGCUGUCUGCUGUUCAGUACUAUUUGUUUCUGUCGUGUUUGGAUCAUUUUGAACAAUGCUUCCCCUUAGAAUUUUUCUUCUAGGCAUUUUAUCUGCAAUACACAUAAAAUAGUUGAUAACUUAAUAACUAAUUACAACAAUAACAACACAUAUAAAAUAGUUGAAAUAUAUAAUAAGACUAAGAUUUAAUUUAUGAUAUUACAUAUAAUAAAUCAAUCGUAAAAUCUUACUACAUCAUUAUUCAUAAAUAUCUUCAUCCGUAUCCUGACGAACCCAUUGAAAUUGUGCACUAGUACUAGGGAUAUUAUCGUUUAAGUUUUGUUCUGGAAAGGGCAAAGUUUCUGAUCUGUCGUCGAUGUUAUCUCUACUUCCACUGCCCAUGUCAAACAAAUCUCUAGGGAUGUUACGGAGUACAACGUACCAACCCUCAUUGACUGGAUCUUUUGAGUAAAAAACUUGUUUGACUUGAUAUGAGAAUACAUACGGCUCAUCUAUCAGUUGUUGUCCUGUGUGAAUCAAUCGGUCAAAGUUCACCAUUGUAAAACCAAAUUGAUCUUGCUUAAUUCCACGAGCUGUAUUAACAUCGGCCCAAUCACCUCGAAAUAAGACAACUUUCCCCGAGUCGUAGUAAUCCAACUCAAUUAUGUCAGUAAGAUGUCUGAAAUAUUCCACAUUUCCCUCGACAGGAUUAUUGUCCCUAGCUCUAGCAUAACUUGUAAUUGCAGAAUUGACAACUAUUCCAUAAUUUUGCGUUCUCCUCAACCUCUCGCGAUAUUUUGUAUGAAAUCUGAAUCUGUUGAUGAGGAACGCACUAUAUCUUUUAACCACUCGAUUUGGACCUUGGGAGAGCCAUUUAACUUCGUCGUUUACGCUCUUCCCACUCCAAACCUAUUGAAUGGAAAGUAAACUGAGUAAUUAAAAAUGUUAUGAGAAAGCAUUAUAAUUUGUAAGCGGAAGCUCCAACUGCAUACCGUUUGGCUUAACCAUUCAUAAAAAGAUUCUGCAAACAACUUAUUGAUAUCUCGAUGUUGUGUUCUUCGGGAGUGCGAACGAGUUUUCAAUAUUUUUUUGUACUCACUAUGUUAAAAAAAUGUGAUCUUUGUUAGAAGAUAAACAAUUUUUAAUUGGAUAAAUAUUUAUAAAAUUUGUAGAACUUACUUCCAUAAAGGUUCCAAUGAUUCAUGGUGAAACAGAACAUAUCGAUGUGCUUAUACCCACGAUAAAUGAUCUAAUUCUGCAAUUUCAACUUUGCCGAUUGGUUCUCCAAAACUUUGGAACAAAUAAUUAUCGGCUAAGUUAUAGUCCGUGAGUCCAGCAUUCCUAUUUGGUCUGUUCAACCUUGUUUCGACAUCUUCCAAAUAUCUUGAGCAGAAGGUCAUACAUUCCUCUGCCAAGUAGCCUUCAGCAAUCGAUCCGUCUGGAUAUCACUUGUUGCGGCAGUAAGACUUUAAUUUGGAUAGGAACCUAAACACAAUAUACAACAUUAUAAAAAGUUGUAACUAAAGGCAUAGAGGUGAAUGAAGGAAAAUUUUAAAAAUACUUCUUUAACACCUUUCUAUGGGAUACAUCCAUCGAUAGAAAACGAGUCCGGUAAGAAUUGCUUCGUGCGGGAGAUGAAUUAUCAAGUGAACCAUAAUGGUGAAGAAGGAAGGUGGGAAGAUUUUCUCCAUGUUGCAUAAGGUCAAAGCGGCUCGAUCCUGUACCUUCUGAAGUUCUUGAACAUCCAAAACUUUGCCACAAAUCGCUUUCAUUAUGUUGGAUAGUUCAAUGAUACAAGACGUCACCUUUUUAGACAUACAACAUCGUAGAGCAACUGGCAGUAAAUCUUGCAUCAAGAUGUGAUAGUCAUGUGAUUUUAGUGAAUAUAAUCUUCGAUCUUUAACACUAACACAUCGAGAUAUAUUUGAUGCAUACGCAUCCGGAACCUUUAUAUCCUUCAACACCAUGCAAAACAGUUCUUUCUUCGUCUUGGACAUUGAGAAAAUAGAAGGCGGCAACCAAUAUUUCCCAUUCGGAAGUGGAUUGGGAUGAAGAUCAGGCCGAAUUCCCAUUUGGAGUAAAUCAAGUCGGCUCUGAAGAUUGUCUUUUGAUUUUCCGUCGACGUUCAAAAUUGCACCCACAAUGUUCUCGCAGACAUUUUUCUCAAUGUGCAUAACAUCAAGAUUGUGUCGUAAAAGGUGAUGCUCCCAAUAAGGUAACUCAAAAAAAUACUUCUUUUUUUCCACAAGUCCGCCUCAUUAGGAUCGUCCUCUUCGUCGGAGCUUUCAUCGGCUUCAUCAUUUGAUCUUCUAUUUCUCUGCGUGUUUGGCGGUUGGUUCAUCUUCCCAUAAAUGAAAUUCAUAUCUUCCAACAUGAACAAGAUUUCAGAGCCAUUGGUCUGGGAAGGAGCUUCUCUGAACUCUUCAGUGCCGUCAAAUACAGAACUCUGAAAUCUAAAUCUAUGAUUUUUCGAUAACCACCGAUGAUGCCCCAUGUAAGAAAACUUCUCCCCAUUGUACAACCAUUGCGAGCAUGUUUGUGCAACACAAGAAGGACACGCAUAACGACCCUUAGUACUCCAACCGGAUAAAUUGGCAUAAGCGGGAAAGUCAUUAAUGGUCCACAUCAAAGCUGCACGUAAAUUAAAGUUCUCUUUUCUCAGCACAUCGUAUGUCUCGACACCAACCCAUAAUUGUUUUAACUCUUCAAUAAGUGGCUGUAAAUAAAUGUCGAUAUCAUUCCCGGGCCCUUUCUCUCCAGGGAUAAUCAUAGAUAAGAUAAGGGAAGAUUGCUUCAUGCAAAUUGACGGAGGCAGAUUAUAAGGAACAAGCACUACUGGCCAAGUACUGUAGGCAGUGCUCAUGAUCUUGAAAGGAUUAAAUCCAUCAGAUGCUAGCCCAAGCCUCACACUCCUAGGAUCGCUUGCAAAGCUUGGAAAUUUAUUGACAAAUACUUUCCAAGCUAAAGAAUCUGCCGGAUGCCUUAGUAAUCCACCAUCGAUUCGUCCAUCAUGGUGCCACGUCAUUGACUCCGCUGUCUUCGAUGACAUGAAAAGCCUUUGAAGCCUUGGUAUCAACGGAAAAUACUGCAAAAUCUUAACUGGCUUCUUCCUCGACUGUGCAUCAUUUUCAUCGUCGUUCCCAUCUUCUGCGUUUUUAUUUAUCCAACGGGAUUGGCCGCAUACAUGACAGCACUGUUGGUUUUUCCGAUCGCCCCAAUACAACAUGCAGUCAUUUGGGCAACUAUGGAUUUUGUUAUACCCAAUGCCUAAAUCUUUUAUCAUUUUCUUCAUAUCUUUGCAUGACUGAGAGAUUUUUGCAAACGGAAAUAUUUCUCUCAAAAACAUUAAUAGCAUUGUCAACGAGUUUCCGGUCCACCCUCCCAAACAUUUUAACUGAAAAAGACAAACACAGAAGGCCAUUUUUGAAAAUUUUUAUCCCUCAUACAGUUCUUCGUUCAUGUCAUUAAGUAGAGCGUAGAACUUCGCCGCUUCUCCAUUUGGCUCUUCAUGAGGUACACUACUUCCCGGUUCGGUAAAAGCAGUUCCACCAAUAUUACAAUCAUCAGAUGCCAUAAAAUCCCCUGAGAACGAUUGCACACCAUGAUUGUGCAUAUUAAAUGCAUCCCGCAACAUACCUUCCAUGUCAUUCCCUCUAUCAGACUGAUGGUAAGCAGUACCAGGAUAAGAUACAUCCAUCGUUGAAGAGGAAGUACUAAGCGGGCAUUCUCCAUGAAAAAGCCAUUGCUUAUAACCCUUAACAAACCCAUCAACAAUUAGAUGCUCGUAUACAACCUCACGAUAAUGCCAAUUUAUGUUGACACAUUUCUUACAUGGGCAAAGAAUCAUGUUCUCUUGGCUUGCAUAUUGAAAUGUAAAAUUUAGAAAACUCUGCACCCCAUUUCGAUAACCGUUGCUAACCCUUGACAAAUUCAUCCAAGAUCGGUCCAUUUCUUAAUUCUUGAAGUCUGACGUUGACAAUAAUUUGCUCGGGUUAGUCAAAACGCCAGUUAUAACUAUAAAUGAAUUUCAAAAAUUUGUGAUAUGAUAUAUUUUUAUGUAUUAUGUAAGUUAUGACAGUUCUGUAUUAUGUAUUAUGUAUGCCACAUGUAAGUAAUGUAAGCUAUGUAAGUAAUGUAUUAUGUAAGUUGUGUACUACAUCAUUAUGUGAGUUGUGUAUAAUGUAUGUUAAGAAGGUUAUGUAUAAUGUAAGUAAUGUAAGCUAUGUAAGUAAUGUAUUAUGUAAGUUAAGAAGGUUAUGUAUAAUGUAAGUUACUUAAUUUAUGUAAGUUAUGUAAGUUAUUUAAUUUAUGUAAGCUAUGUAAUUUAUGUAAGUUAUGUAAGUUAUGUAAGUUAUUUAAUUAACUUAAUUUAUGUAAGUUAUGUAAGAUAUUUAAUUAAUGUAAGUUAUGUAAGUUACUUAAUUUAUGUAAGUUAUGUAAGUUAUUUAAUUUAUGUAAGUUAUGUUAAGUUAUUUAAUUUACUUAAUUUAUGUAAGUUAUGUAAGAUAUUUAAGUUAUGUAAGUUAUGUAAGUUAUUUAAUUUAUGUAAGUUAUGUAAGUUAUUUAAUUUACUUAAUUUAUGUAAGUUAUGUAAGUUAUUUAAUUUAUGUAAGUUAUGUAAGUUAUGUUAAGUUAUUUAAUUUACUUAAUUUAUGUAAGUUAUGUAAGAUAUUUAAUUUAUGUAAGUUAUGUAAGUUAUUUAAUUUAUGUAAGUUAUGUAAGUUAUUUAAUUUACUUAAUUUAUGUAAGUUAUGUAAGUUAUUUAAUUUACUUAAUUUAUGUAAGUUAUGUAAGUUAUUUAAUUUAUGUAAGUUAUGUAAGUUAUGUAAGUUAUGUAAGUUAUUUAAUUUACUUAAUUUAUGUAAGUUAUGUAAGAUAUUUAAUUUAUGUAAGUUAUGUAAGUUAUGUAAGUUAUUUAAUUUACUUAAUUUAUGUAAGUAAUGUAAGAUAUUUAAUUUAUGUAAGUUAUGUAAGUUAUUUAAUUUAUGUAAGUUAUGUAAGUUAUGUAAGUUAUUUAAUUUUUGUAAGUUAUGUAAUUAAUGUAAGUUAUUUAAUUUGUGAUACCUAAACUAUUAUUCAAUUAUGAUUUUUAGUCUAAAUGUCAUAACAGGGUUUAAAAAAAUUGUUCGCUAUUUUAAUAAUCACAUACUGUAAUGUGACAUUUUUAAUUUCAUGCAAACUAUAUAUGUCUUUUAAUUUAAUUAUCUUAAAUCAUUAUUAUUUUUCCCAUAUUAUCUUUAUUACUAUCAAUGCAUCUUAUCCACAAUCUAAAAUGUGGAUAUUAAUUUUAAAAAAAUUAAUAAAAUUUAAGGUAAAUAAAUUAUAUAAUUCCUACCAUAUAACUAUGUUAGGAACAUCUUCGAUUAAUUAUAUCGGAAUAUUAAACAAAAAUCAUUCAAACUUUAUUUAUCAUUCAAAAUAUACGAAUACAUGCGAAAUUUUGAAUACAAUAAUAUUAUAUUAGAGAUAUGUACCUUAUAAUCGAGAUUAAAAUCGAGAUAUAUUGUGCAUAUUAAAAGUUCUCCAGGUCAUACUCUAUGCAGUUAUAAUUGAAGCAUGCCUUAAAAUUUUUAAUGUAAGAGAUUGUUGUCCCAAUUUUGUAGAAAUUUAAGACGGUUAAAUUUGUUAUCAUUGUUAGAGAUUAGAGAUAUGUAUUAGAUCAAUAAAAAAGUCUCGUGUCAGCUUUUCAUCUCUCAUUUAACAACAAUUAAUCGCAUUUCGUGCUAAAGUAUUUAAUUUCAAAAAGUUUAGUAAUUUCAAAAUAGAACAAAUAGAUUAGUCACUAUUUUUAUACUUUACAAAAAAAUCUAACACGCUGUAGCUUUUCGUAGGACACUUUUACUCUGUCCGCAUUGUGAAAGGAAAGCUCCUUAGCAAAAACAAAUAAUAUUAUGAAAUAACAUUUGGACCAAAGACAUAUAAUACAUUUGGAUACAAUUAAUUUAGACCAAUUAAUUUUUUACGUUGUGCACCAAAGGCAUAUAAUAUAUUUGGUAAUACGUGACAGUCCAUUUGGGUUCUCUUAAAAUAAGCCAUUACCUAUAAGCUCAACUGUGUCAUUACAUAACAAUGUUCAAAACACUCAUAUUUUACAAUGAACCACUAGCAAUGGCUACUGCUAUCAACAAACAAUGCUCAUCUUUUUUUUUAACAGUAGGCCAUAUUUUUUUAACAACCAUGUGCCUAAAGCUUCAUGUUUUUUUAAAAACCACAUCCCCUCAAUUUGCAACUUUUAUCAUAAAGCAAAGCUCAAAUUUAUCAUAAAAUGAUGCUCAAAUUAUGCAAGUUAUGAAAAACAAUAUUGCAUAAUGUAAGAACAAAAGGCAGAAAAUUGAUAUUAUACCUGAUAACUUGUUAUUAGAAUCUAACCGCAGCUUCGAAGUGGUCAAGUUUUCAAUAUUUGAUGGCCUUUCACCUAGAAAUAUAAAUAAAUUGGUCAAAAUAGCUCCAUUCCAUUGCUUUCUGUCCAACCUAAUUCUAAGCUUAUUCUGGCUAAAUUUUAACAACACUAAAUUCAAAUGGCAAUUUUAGGUAAAAUUCCAAUUUUAAUCCCUCUGCAGUGUUUGAAAAACCUUUCGAUACAAGAUAGGGCCGUUCUCACAUGAAAGAAGAGAAGCUAGCAUAACUUCUAUUUUUUCUCUUUCUAGAGGAGGAAAGAGAAAUAGAGUCUUAUGGGGGGAGGGGGAACAUGUGGGCGCAUUUAUAAAAAUCCUCCACUGCAUCCAGAAUCACAAGUGGAACACUAAGCAGGGGUGGGAAGGUAGCGAACUACUGAAAAACAUUGAUAUUUAAUAUUUAAUAUAAUUAUUUGUAUUGCUAAAAUAAAUAAUUAACACCGUAAAAUACCGAUUAAAAUACUUUGGCUAUGAUUUUCAUCGAAAGCCAUGAAAUUAUUGCCAUGUAAAUGCAACUGAAAAAAAUCGUCAGAAACUAAUGCAUCAUUUUUUACCGAUGCAAGAGGUAUACAUAGCUUAUCUGUUACAUACUGCACACUUUAAAAGUAAUUAAAUUAAAUUACAACAAUUUAAAAUAUCGUAAUUAGGGCAGGAAGAACAAGAAGCAAGUACGGACGGAUAUUUUGCAGCAGAAGAUAUCACGAAAACUUACCGAUUGUUGUGGCAGAGGAGACCGACGGAGGGAGACGGUGAUGCGCCAGAGGAAACGGCAACGUUGCAAGAGGUUGGGUUUGGGGAAAUGUGGAUUAGGGGAAAUUUCUCAAUAUUUCAGGGAGAAAUGGAUUUUGGGGAUCAGUCACAAUUGGUGGGGUUUAAGUUUCGGUUAAAUGUAUGGGGCAGAAGAGACCGACGGUGAUGCACCAGAGGAAACGGCAACGUUGCAAGAGGUCGGCUUUGGGGAAAUCUGGAUUAGGGGAAAUUUAAGGAUUUAGGGGAGAAUGGGAUUUUGAGGGAUAAGUCACGAUUGGGACUCUAAGUUUCGGUAAAAUGUCUGGGAAAAAAACGAUGACAUUUUCUAUGAAAUUGAAAUCAUUUGCGGCACUUGACAAUAAGCGCCACUAAUAUCAGUACAAACGCAGCCGUUUAACACACAUUAGAGUAAAACUUGUGGCGCUUAGAGUAAAAACGCCACUAAUAACACGGACAAAACGGCAUCGUCAUAAGAUAACAUUAAACAUUUUUGCGGCGCUUUAUCUAAAGCGCCACUAAUAAAAAUAGGAAACGGCGUCGUUUCCUCAGCUCGUAAUAAAUAUUUGUGGCGUUUUUAAACUGCGCCACUAAAAGAAAACAACAAAACGGCACCGUCUUCAUUACAGUUAAAGGAAAUUUAUGGCGUUUCUUCGUAAAACGCCGAUAAUAUAUCACCUUUAGCGGCGUUUUUCAUAUGCGCCACUAAUAACAAAGACAAAACGGCACCGUUAUAAGAUAACAUUAAACAUUUUUGCGGCGCUUUAGCUAAAGCGCCACUAAUAAAAAUAGGAAACGACGUCGUUUCCUCAGCUCGUAAUAAAUAUUUGUGGCGUUUUUAAAUAUGCCACUAAAAGAAAACAACAAAACGGCACCGUCUUUAUUAUAGUUAAAGGAAAUUUGUGGCGUUUCUUCGUAAAACGCCGGUAAAAUAUCACUUUUAGCGGCGUUUUUCAAAUGCGCCACUAAAGGAAAACAACAAAACGGCAUCGUCUUUGUUACAGUUAAAGGAAAUUUGCUGCGUUUCUUCAGAAAACGCCGAUAAUAUAUCACCUUUAGCGGCGUUUUUUAUGAAGCGCCGCUAAUGCCUUCCUCCAAGAUUGAAGUCAAUUUGAUCCAAAAUUAAAACAAAAUUUAUAAAAUGAAAUUAUUAAUUAAUAAAAAAAUGGGAGAAUGAUGCAUUUUUAAAAAAUAAAUUCAUGUUCUAAAAAACAAUUUUACAUCAAUAUAUAUUUAUAUUGAAUAAAUAUAAAUAUUUAUGUAUGCAAUAUGUACAUGAAAAAUGAUGUUAAUUAUAUCAAUAAUUGUGUUAAUAUAUUUUACAAUAUUUAGAUUAAACUAAAGUUCAUGUAUACAAUUGAACAUUAAACUGUUGUUCAUGUACGCUUUUGGGAUUUAACCCAUUUUGAUAUAUAUAUUUUUUGAAUUAAUAUUUUAUAUUUAUCUUAUUUACAUUUAUAUUCUAAAAAUCUAACCCCUAAACCCAACAACCAAACCCCAAAAUCCGACUGUCAAUAUACCAUAAAUCUUAAAUCAUAAAUCCUAAACCCUAAACCUAAAACUCUAAACUCUAAACUCUAAACCGUAAACCCUAAAUCGUAAACCUAAACCAUAUUUUCUGGAAUUCGUGUGGCCAGUGUUAGUGUAGUACAAGACAUAUAUUUUAUAUUAUUAUAUUAUAUAUAUGGCUGUAGUACAAAAUGGCAUGAAUCCGAGUAAAAUCCAAAUGUUCUUCAAUUUCCAAACUAAACCCUAAAACCCAAAACUCAAACCUUAAACCCUAAACUCAAUCUCUAACACAUAAACACUUAACCCAAAUUAAUAAAUAGUAUACCAUAAACCCUAAACCCUAAACCAUAGACAUUAAAUCUUAAAUUUUAAACCCUAAAACCUAAUAAAAUAAAACGAUAGAUUUUUCUCAACACUUUGAUGCGUUGAAACCCUAACUGUAACCCCUAAAUCCCCUAACCCUAACCCCUAAAGCAUAACACCUAACCCUUAAACUUUAAAUCCCAAACCCUAAAUCCAUACCCAAGACUACUCCUUAAACUCUAAACCGUAUACUAUAAAGAUAAUUAAUUCAAUAUUUUAAAAUUAAUACUAUCUCUUUUACAAUUAUAUAAGAAAUUAUUUAAUAUAUAAUCUAAAAAAAUCAGUAAUGUACCAAAAAACUUUAAAAUUAUUUUAAAUAAUAGUAUUUUAAUUUUUCCAUUUUUAACGAAUAUUUUAAAAUAUUUUAAACCCCUAAGCAUUAGCGGCGCUUCCCAAAAACGCCACUAAAUCCCCAAAAAGCUCCGAAAACGGCACCAUUCGGCUUAGUUUUAUUGCGGCACUUUCUGAACAACGCCGCUAAAGGAAAGCAUUAGCGGCACUUUCUUAGAAAAUGCCGCUAAAUCCACUGAAAGUUAAGAAAACGGUGCCGUUGGGCACCCCAAGCAUUAGCGGCGCUUCAUUAAAAACGCCGCUACAGCCUCGAAAGAUCUGAAAACGGUGCCGUUGGACAUAUUUUUUUUUGCGGCGCUUCUCUAAAAACGCCGCUAAAUCCCUAAACAUUAGCGGCGCUUUUGUCAAAGCGCCGCUAAAUCCCUAAACAUUAGCGGCGCUUUUGUCAAAGCGCCGCUAAUUCCACGAAAGCUGAGAAAACGACACCGUUUGGCUUAGGGUUUUUAGUGGUGCUUCCCCAAAAGCGCCGCUAAAUCCCAAAAACUACGGAAACGGCACCGUUUGGCUUAGGAUUAUUAGUGGCGCUUAAUUAAAAACGUCACUAAAUCCCCAAAACCUCGGAAACGGUGUCAUUGGGCUUUGGUUUUUGCGGCGCUUUCUGGAAAAUGCCACUAAUUCUUAUUUUCAGCAGCGUUUUUCAUUUUGCGCCGCUAAUGAUCUAACUUUAGCGGCGUUUGUCAUCUAAACGCCGCUAAAACCGCCGCUAAAAGCCUAUAUUGGUGUAGUGGAAGGGUCAUUUGUUGAGUAGAGACAAACUCGACAAUGAGCUUCAUUUGGAUAGCAAGGCGGAUAGGCAAGCUUUCAUUUUGAUAGCAUCAAAGAAACGAUACAAAAGGUGUCGCUAUUGUAAAAAGUUAGGUCACGUCAAAGCAAAUUGUUAUAAACUGCGAAAUAAAAGAGCUGCUAAGAGUAACGAGGAAGAUGUAGCUGGUGCUAACUUGGCCGAUGAAAGCGGUGAUGAUUUCUUGUUAGUGUCAACGAGCGAUAACUCCAAGCUCACGUCCGAGUGGAUCCUAGAUUCGGGAUGUUCUUUCCACAUGUGUCCCAAUAGAGAAUGGUUCUCCACAUAUAGUUCGGUUGAAGGUGGAGUUGUGCGCAUGGGAAACGAUUCAUCUACUAAGGUAAUUGGUAUUGGUACUGUUAAAAUUAGGAUACAUGAUGGGACGAUUAGGACACUCUCAGAUGUCAAGUAUGUACCUGAUUUAUGAAAAAAUCUCAUCUCCUUGAGUAUUUUAGACUUGAAAGGAUGCAGAAUCAAUAUCGAGUCGAGCGACAUUAAAGUAUCUCAUGGAGCUCUCAUUUUGUUAAAAGGUAAAAGAACUGACAGUCUUUAUAUUCUGGAAGGUUCUACAAUGACUGUUGAAAUCGAACGUCCCUCGUUCGUUACAAAGUCGAAGUCAACUCAUUUGAAGCGAAGACAACUUGGUCAUAGGAGGGAAAAAUGUAUGAUCAUUUCGUUGAAGAGAGGUUCUCUUUUGGAUACAGGUUUUGAAAAGUUAGGGCACUAUGUUCGUGAAAAUUAGACCCGGGUUAGUUUUGAUUUGGCAGUGUACAAGUCGAAGGCUAGAAGUCUUCCAGUUUAUAAGCACAGAUUCGACUCAGUUAAUUCCCUGCAUAGUUCAGGAUAGGCUCAUAGCGAGCUUUGGAAAAGAUGGCGUUGUAGAAAUAUGAGUCAAGGUGGAGAUUUGUUAAGUAUGACUCCUAUUUCAGUCAAAUUUUAGAAGUAAUCUCUAGUUAAACUCUGUUUAUUUUUUUUAAGCAAACACUGAUUAGUUUAAAUUAUUAUUUUUUAUUUGACAUAUGAAUUUAGCCUAUAAAUAGGCUAAUUUACAACCUUAGAAAAAAACACCCAUUAGAUAUUAUAACUCAUAAUACAUUUAGAGAAUUUUGUGUUUACAUUGAGGGUUCUUUGUUUUUUGGUUUUUGAGGUUUAGUAUUUAUCUCCAUUUUUUUUUACUCUUCGUUUCUUUUGCCAUUAUAGUAAAAUUAUCUUUGCUCGUGGUUUUUUAUCCUCUUUGGAGGAGUUUUUCCAUAUUAAACUUGUGUGUUCAAUUUCUCAAUUUCUUCUGUUAUUUUUACUUGUUUCUUACUUAAUCGGGUAAAUCACUAACAUAAAUGAUAAAACUAACAUAUUUUAAUCUCAUUCUUAAUUCUUUUUUUGAUGAUUAUUUAUGCAAAUUGGUGAAUUUGAUGCUCCUAACCCCUUUAAUUCAUGUUCUUAUACUUAGGUGAGCAUUUGGGAGCAAAAUGAGCCAAAAUCAGAGAAAAGUGCAUAUUUCAGAAGUCACACAAGCUGGACACACGCCCAUGUGCCAGCUGGAAACAUGAAAAUAUACACACUUUUUCAUGCCCUUUUUAACUCAAAUUCAUGCAGUUUCGGUAAAAUUCUUGUUGAAAAAUAUAUAAUAAUUAUAAAAUAAUUAAAUUGUACUUCAAUUAUUAACAUGUUGAAUCUUCAGUAAUUUUAUAAUAAAUUUUGAUUAACUUUUAUUUAUUUUCGACAGAUUUGCACAAAUGGUGAAAAUUAGCUCGGCAGAAAUUGCUAGAAGCACAAAAUCGAGAAGCGAUUUUGAAACAUCAAGGUGAAUUAAUUGUUCAGCCUAAGACGGUCCAAAUUAUGAAUAUUAAUUCAUAAUAUAAUUAUUUUUAAUUUUAAUUCAAUUUGUGUUGGGUUAAAUAAUAAUUACUAAUUAAUUAUGAAAAGAGGCCCAGUUGAGCUGGAUCGAGAAAAUCGAUCCAAUCGAGCACUGGGCUGCCCAAAUUUGUCUCACAUGAUGAUCCAAUCAGCUUGUUUGGCUGAUUAUUUGGCUAUAAUCAUGUCUAUGAAUACUUGUGAUGUUGAUAUGUUUAAUUCAAUUAAUAUGGUGUAAAUUUAAUUCGUGCUAGGUUAAUUGCAUUUCGUCCACUUAAGUUAUUAAAAUUAUGUUUGUGUUGUUGUAGGUCUUGGUAAACUGUUUGAUUAAGUAAAACCAUGACUAAGUUAUUCUUGCAUUAUAAUUGUAAGGUGACUGAUGAAUUAAUUAUUUAAAAGUGUUGAAAUUGUAAUUAAUUGACACAAUACUUAAUCGGUGCAUGUUUAAUCUUCUAAGGUAUUAGUCAAUACAUUAAUCUUGCAUAACUUGCAAGAUUAUUGUGAUUAAACUGUUUCAAGGUAGGAAUACAUUGUUGCCUCACUUAAUCUUUUAUGUGCUUAUGAAGAUUGGUUAAUUGUUUGAAUUGGCAUUGGAAAAUGUUCAAAAGAUUAGUUAAUUUAAUAGGUAUGUAUGAGCAGUAGUUAGCAAAUUACUGAGUUGUCGUGAAUUUAUUCGUAACAACAUUAACAUGAGUUUAGUAAUUCUAUGUUAAAUUUUAUUUUAUUUUAUUUUACUUAGUUAAAUUUUUGUUUGAAAUAAUUUCCUCAAAUUUAAAAUAUUUUUCUUCACCAAAGUGUUUUUAAUUGCAUUCAAAAAUAAUUUUUUUCACAGUCCCUGUGGGUACGAUAACUUGACAUUUGCUUGUCACUUUAUUACUUGUUGCGAUUGUGUACACUUGCACAUUUCCAUUGUUCCACCAGCCCAUGUCGAUUUCUCAACCUGCUUUCCAAACAUGCAGAAAAACGCAAUUUUUAGGCUUUCUGAGCAUUCUAAUGUCUAUAAAUACCAAAUAGAAUAAGAGAUAUGGGAGUCAUCAGAGAAUAUCAAGAAAACAACUCGAAGAACACCAUCGGAACCAACUCUGAAGUGGAUUUCCAUCAAGAUCGAAGACCUCCUUUUAAUUUCCUUUGAAGUUUUUAUGAGUUUCUUUAUUUCUUAUGGUUUUUCUAACUUUGAGAUGAAACAUAUGAUGAAUUCUAUUAUUUAAUUUAUGUUUUACAUGAUAAAUACUUGAUUCUUGUUCUCAAUUAUGUGUUCCUAUUUCUUGUUAUAGUAUUUUUUGGAUAUUAAUUCAUGUUUAAUAUGCUUAAUUCAAUGGAGGAAAAGUCCCUAUUUAAAAGUAGAUAUAGCAUAAUUUAGUGGAGUUGCAUGCAAUCCUAGAAAUAGAACGACAUAAAUCUACUGGAUUAGAGUCAAAUCUAAUAGGAGAAUCCAUAGAUCGAGUUAAUGUGAUGAUAUGGGUUUUAAUUAGAAAGAGAUUUCAAUUAAUCAAUGUAGAGUUGGUUACUUUUACUCUCGGAAGAGAUAUUAACAUAAUUUAGGGAUUUCUACAGAUCAAGACACCAAGUGAAUAAAUCGUUUAAUUUAAAGUCAUAAUAAUAGAUGAAGUCUAAGUGGAUUCUUUCCUAGGUAUUGUCUCUCUCAUUGGUUAAUAUUGGAUUAUUUUCUUGAUUCAUUCUCUGUUUAGUUCUUAGUUAAUUUAGUUUAGUAAUUUUAGCUUAAAACCUAUCACUCUAAUUUGUCGGCUAAAUAAUAAGAAAACAGUAAUUACUAAUAAUUUUAGUCCUCCUAGAUAGGUGCGCUUGCCUUAGUUGUAUUUUUAGUUAGUCAAAUGAGACACAUCAAUAUACAAGUUGAAUUUCAAGUUAACAGUUUUUAGUAUGUUGAGUGAAGUGACUGUAGCUAUGAUCAAACUCUUAAAGAGACUUUCAAGUCCUUCAAGAUACCAGGUUGUGAAAUGCCCAAAUGGGAGUCUAGAAUUUAUAUUUCAUGCAAUCAAUAGAUGUAUAUGAUAAACAACAAAUAUAUAUACAAGGAUGAAAGUUACUAUACUAGGCAUAGAAUAAACAACAAAUGUAUAUGAUAAAGAAAGAUUAGAUUCGUUCAGAAAAGUUCUUUUAAUUUAUGAUAUAUGAAGUAUACAUAUAUUUGUUUUACCAAUAUACAAGGAUGUACAACAAAAUUUUUUAAAGUUGUUUUCUAUUGCCAUAUGUUAUAACUUUCUGCAGCCUAAUGGCUAAGGAUGUUGAGAACAAAAACUCUAGUUUUGACCAAGAGCUUCAACAAGCACCCCACUCCAUCUUUAAGAUCUUGAAUGCUUGGCAUCAUCAAUGCUCAUUUUACAUGAUUUUCUGGUCUUGUUACCAAUAAGAGUGCACAAAACUGCAUCCACUUUCUCGAAUUCAUUGGUUUUCGUUGCUUCUCCCUCGUGUGUUAUGCAUUUGCAGCUCAUCAACUUGGACAGAAAAGACCAAUUGGUCAAUUUUGAUUCCAUCUCUGUGCCACUGAUAUGAGAAAAGAGGGAUUCAAACACUGUGAAUGCAACUCCUUGUACCUCUCACAACAUGCUAAAUGCGGCCUCAGUAUCGUUUUCUAACAGAGUAAAGCCACAUUUACAAGCUUUUAGAGACUUGUUUAUUAACUUCUUUGCUUUCUUGCUUGAAGCCAAGUAUUCCUUAGCUUUAUAUAUGAAACCAGCUUCAUCGCCUCUUCUUCUUCUCAAAAUUGAUGGAAGUUGUUGGGUAUCUUCCUUGGCCUGUAAUAAAGCAUCCUUGACCACACCAAAAACACCCAAGAGCUUGAGAGACCCAUUCAACAACUUGUUAAUCGGUUUUUUAUUAUAUUAUUGUGCUAAUGAUUUUUGUCUAAGUGGCAGUUGAAGCAAAUUAUCAACCAACUCAUAAGAUCUAUAAGGUUGCUUAGUUUUUGGCUCAUUUUAUUUCUAUAUGAUAUUGGAAUUAUAAUAAUAAUGAAUUUUUUCAAGAAUUAAGGAGUAAGAGGAUUUAAAAGGCUAAAGUUUUUACACCAGAUUUUAUUACAUUGUUUGUAGAAGGAAAAUAUCAAAAUAUAAAUAAUAAGAUAAAUUAUUGUUAUAUUAUAGAAUUUGAUCCAUUUACAUUUGAACAGAUAAUGAAAUCUCAAGAUUCUACUUUUUGAAAAGAGGCAAUAAAUAAUGAGAUAGAUUUAAAAAUGGAAAAUUAUAAUUAGAUUUUAGUUGAUCUUCCGCAAUUUUCCAAAUCAACUGGUUGUAAAUUGAUCUUCAAAAAUAAAAUAAAGUUCGAUAAAACCAUUGAUAAAUUUAAAGUAGCGUUGGUAGGCAAAGGUUUUAUACAAAAAUAUAGAAUUGAUUGCUUUGAUACCUAUGACGAUUAAACUCUUAAUAUCACUUACCUGAAUGUACAAUUUGGUUAUUCACCAAAUAGAUGUUAAAAUUGUACUUUUAAAUGGUGAACUAGAAGAGGAAAUGUACAUGGAACAAUCAGAAGGAUUUGUUAUUCCAAAACAAAGGUAUAAAGUAUGUAAGCUUGUUAAAUCUCUAUAUUGACAUAAACAAGCACUAAAACAAUGACACCAAAAGUUUGACAAAGGUGUUCUAGCUAAUGGUUAUAAAAUAAACGAAUCUUAUAAGUGCAUAUAUAGCAAAGUUAGACAAAGUUGUUCUAGUCUAAAGGAUCCAUCCAACAACUCAUUAACAAACCCCUUAUUUUGUUCUUAAGUUAAUUCUCGAUGGGAAUAAGGGGCAAUUGUAGCAACUUAUCCACACAAUAAUACGAACCAUGAAGGUCGUUUAGUUUAUGGCUUAUUGAUGAUGGCAUGUAGCUUCGAAAUCCCCUCAUCUGUUCAAAUGUUAAUCAAUCUCUAAAACAACUGUGUAUGGUCUGGAUGGCAGAUGGAAGCUAUUAGAAUGAGCGUGGUGAAUUGUUUGGGCUGCCAUUUUUCUUUCUUCUUCAGGGAAAUAGCCUAAUGGUUGAAUGUUUCUACCUAUUAUUUGCUAUGUUGAAGUGAGCAUCAACUCCAUUUUAUAUAUACAUCAGGUCAUAGAGACAAAAGAAAUCUCAAGUGCUUCGUUAAUAAAUUAUUUAUAUCUUUUUCUUUCAAUUUAGAUCUCGAUAUGAGCACUUUUCAGCACUAUUUAUGCGAAAUGUCUUCCCUAAAAUAUGUUGGAACAUUUUCAAAUAUUAAUAUUGUUCCAAUAACUAUAAAUGAAAAGAUGGAAUUAAAUCAAAAGUUAUAACUAUUGGUUAUUAAUCAAGAUUUCUAACUAUUCAUAAUAAUGAAUUAUAACUAUUCAAGUUGUAUCUCUUACUAUAAUAAUUAUAUCUAUUUCAGAGAUAUUAGACGAAUAAUUAUGUUUUUUUAAGAUUUAAUUAUUUAUAUAAGACACCUAUUAAAAGUUAUGUCUCUAUGAAAAGAUAUUUGAAUUCCUAUAAAUAAAAGUGAGAUUUCAUUUGAAGGAUAUACCAAAAAGUUAUUUCAAUUCUUCUUCCAUUUUCUAUUAUUAUUAGAUUGUUCUAUAAAGAAUUAUUGCAGAAAUUCUUUAUAGUGCUUAAUGGACUAUUGUCGUCAGUGUAAAACGCAAAUAGUCACUAAGUUUCAUUCUAUCCUCAAGGUCCAUUUGGUUGAAACUCAUUUUCACACUGAGUAUAGGUGGGGAUGAAUAGAAACUUAAAUGUAGUGGCUUGAUACAUGUCUUAGAGCCUUGUCUUAUUGACUCGAGUUAUUGUUCGUGUUCCAUUCAUGUGUUCUAGCUUUUCUUCAUCGAAGUUCCGCACUAACAAUUUUAAGGUUCUACUCCAUUUUCACGAUGGCUAAUGCAACACAUGAAAGUGCAACACUAAGGGAUUUGGCUUUCAAUUUUUUCAAGCUUGACCAGUUUGAUUGUGACAAUUUUCGAUAAUGGCAAAAAAGGUGCAAUUCUUACUAUCUAAUUUGAAGUUUACUUAUGUUUUGGAUACUCCAGGACCAGAAGAGAAUGGAAACAAAUCUCUUGUUGCAACAUGAGAAAGGAAAAAAUGAGACAAUGUUAAUUUCAUGUGGAUAAGUCACAUAAUGGAUGAUUUAUUUGAUGGUUUAUUCUAUAGCUGCCAAAAAGAGGUCACUGCUAAGGAAUUAUGGGACAAAUAGGAGAUAAGAUACUUGAUCGAAAAUGAUACAAGUAAUUUUUUUUUCAUUUCAAUAAUUAUCAAAUGAUUGAUGAUCGUUUUGUUAUGGAACAAUUUUGUGAUAUUGAAAAAAUAUUGAAUCAAUUUAACCAAUAUGAUAUGAAAAUGAAAAAAAAAUUCACUGUUGUAUCUUCGAUUAUAGACAAACUUCAUUUAUCUUGGGAAGACUUUAAAAGAAUAACUAACCAAUUAUUACCUUUCGGCCUCUAACUAAUUAAUUAAUCCACCAAUACACACUUAUCUUUCGACCUCAAUUUCUUGAUCGGGAUAACUUAUGGUUUACUCAGAAAACUUAUCUUUCGACCUCGUUUAUCCUAAAUUACUUCUCAGGGUCGUUAAUCCUAAGGUUUAAUCACACAUAAUAUAAACCAACUAAUUUGAAAACAAACAUUAAUUCUUCCUCUAAUUAUUCCCACAUCUGAUCAUUAAUCUCCCUAAGAAAACUAACCACUCAUAGAUCUAGAUGCAAUUUUCCCUAAUUUCAUAUUAAAAAUGCAAAGAAAAUAAUUAAAUAGACAAAGGGAAUAAAGAAAUUGAUCCAUUUUGAUAUCGAUUUGUGCACGAAAGCUAAAAUUCCUUUGACAGUUACGAAGAUUGUGUUGAUUCUAAUUGAAAACCAAAAAGAAAUGAAUAAAAACGCAAUAAAGAAAAUAUUGGAUCCAAAUCGAAUCCAAGAGAGAACAAAGGAAACGUUAUAUUUUUGAAUAAAAAUACUAAAUUGAAAUAAAACUAAAAAUAAAAAUAAAUUCCUAAAAAUCUAAUCUAAAAUGGCUCACUCGGCCAAGCCUCCAAACCUAGGCUAAACAUCAAUAUUUAUAGCUAAAUGUUAUGUCCUAAUUAGGUCAAUUAGAAACCCUAAAGCUAAAUAAGAUGUGUUGCACAAACGAAAAGACCCUUGACUUAAAAUUGCAUAUCGUUGCUCCGGUGUCGCGACACUGGACUUUGUGGGUGAUUUCUUUGGCUUCAAAGUGUGGUGUUGCGAUACCACAUGCUGGUCUUGCGACGCUGUCAUCGUACUUUGCAUUCUUAGCCCAAAAACAGUGUCCUACACACUAGAUCGACAUGUUAUUCCUUCCCUAGGCCUAUUUUGGCUCGUGAUAAGUGCUAAAAGUAACAUAUUUUUACCUCAUUUUUAAUGUAUUUUUGGGUGAUUAUUUGAUGUCAAUUGUGAAUUUUAUGUUCCUAAUCCUUUAAAUUCAUGUUUUUAUGCUUAAUAAAGCACUUGGGAUUAAAAGCAGUACAAAAUGAGCAGAAAUCAAAAAAUUGAAACAAGCUAUAGGAUUCUAUCAUUGGAUGUUUUUAUUUUCAAGCAUGAGCUAAUUUUAUAAAUACCUAGGGAGAUAAAUCCUAUGAUGGAUUCUAUCAUUUGAUUUUUAUUUUAUGCAAUAGAGGCUUAGUUUCUUAUUCUCUAUUAUGUAUGCUAAAUUCUUGGUUUGAUAUUUCUAGACUACAAAUCCAUGUUUGAUGUGCUUAAAUUAGAGGAGGAAUAGACCCAGUUUAAUAGUAGAUCUUGAGUAAUUGAGUGGAGUUGCAUGCAAUCCUAGAAAUAGGAUGACAUAAAUCUACCGGAUUAGAAUCAAAUCUAAUAGGAGAAUCCAUUGCAUGAGGUAAUGUGAUAAUAGGGUUUUUAAUUAGAAAGAAAUUUCAAUUAAUCAACGUAGAGUCAGCUAUUUUUAUUCUCGAAAGAGAUAUUAGGAUAAUUUAGGGAUUUCUACGGAUCAAGUUACUAAGUAAAGAAAUUGUGUAAUUUAGAUUGAUAGUGACAAAUGAAAUCUAGGUGAAUUCUUUCUUGGAUAUUAUUUCGUUUCUUGGUUGUUAAUCGGUUAUUUUCGUGAUUUAUUCUUUGUUGUGUUCAUUAGUUAAUUAAUUUAGUUCAUUUUGGUUUUUAAUCAAUCACUCGAUUUAUUUGGUUAAAUAAUAGAAAGACAGUAAUUACUAGUACAUUUAGUUUUUAAUCAAUCAUCUGAAUUUCUCUUAGGGUGGUCAAGAAAAUCAAAGGUCAUAACCCCCUCUAGGUUUUCAGCAACCUUAUCAGCAAGAAAAAAAAAGCCAAAUCUAAAAUAGAUGUUAAUGAAAUUUAUUUCAGUGCCAGAAACUAGAUUCAAGAACACUGAGACAACUUUGAGGAAUCAUCAAGCAUCUAUUCAGGGACUCGAGAAUUAGAUUAGUCAGCUUCGUAAAUUGGUUUCGGAGAGACAACAAGGCAAUUUACCCAGUAACACUAAAACCAAUCGAAAAGAGCAAGUCUGCGUAAUCACUGUACGAACUGGAAAGGUGUUAGUUGAACCUUAAAAGAAGUUGAAUCUAGAAGUUAUUGAGAAAAAUGAAGGGGUUAAGGAAAGUAAGAAAGAGCAUAAACAGGUGUUCAAAGAAUACAAACUGCCAAUUCCAUAUCUGACAAAAGUGAAGAAAGACCGCAUGAAUGAACAAUAUUGUAAAUUUCUUGAACUUUUGAAAAAGAAACUAUAUAUUAACUUACCUUUUGUUGAAGUCCUUUCGUAGAUGCCAAAGUAUACAAAAUUUUUAAAGGAGUUGUUAACAAAUAAAAAGAAGUUAGAUGACCUGUCCACUGUAGAGCUCAAUGAGGAGUGUUUGACAAUUCUCCAAUAAAAAGCUACCCACCAAGCUUAAAGAUCGAGGGUAUUUUACUAUCUCUUAUUUUAUUGGUAGCUUAAAUGUUGAAAAAGCUUUGGCUUAUUUGGGUGCUAGUAUAAAUUUGAUGCCUUAUAAAAUGUUCAAACAACUUGUUCUCGGGGAACCAAAACCCAAUAAGAUGUGUAUUCAAUUAGCUUACAAAUCAAUUAAGUAUCAUAGGGGCAUUAUUGAAGAUGUACUUGUUAAACUUGAUAAAUUUAUAUUCCCUAUUGAUUUUGUUAUAUUAAACAUGGACGAGGAUAUUGAGUUACCCAUAAUCUUAGGUCGACCCUUUUUAGCCACUGCUAGAACUGUUAUUGAUAUAGGUGAUGGUGAACUUUUGCUAAGGGUAGGUGAUGAAGAGGUUACUCUUCAAGCACGUGAACUUUUUAGAGUUUCUAGUGAGCGAGAUGAUACUCGUUAUUUUGAUAGUUUUAGUAAUCGAGCGACUCAAAAUUCUUUGCAGGAAAUCACUAAUGAAAACAUGUUAGAAUUGUAUCUUGUUCAAGGUGAUAAAAAUUAAGGGACGAGUGGAGAACGAAUGGUGCAACUUGAUGAAUUAGACGAAUGACAACCAAAGGCUUAUGAGAAACCAAAAAUGUUCAAAGAAGUAAUAAAGAAAGCCAUGGUGUGCAUUUUAAAUCGACGAACAAAUUCAAAGUAGGAGACAAAGUGUUGCUGCAGAAUUUAGAUCCACAAAUGUUCCUUGAAGAGCUUAAAUUAAGAUGGUCAAAAUUUUUUAUGCAUUUUUGGGUGAUUAUUUGAUGUCAAUUGUGAAUUUUCUGCUCCUAAUCCUUUAAAUUCAUGUUUUUACGCUUAAUAAAGCACUUGGGAUCAAAAGGAGUAAAAAAUGAGCGGAAAUCAAAAAAAUCAAAACAAGCUAUAAGAUUCACACGGGCUGGCCCAUUCCACACGGCCAUGUGACCCACAUGGGCUACCAUACGGCCUUGUGGUAGCCCGUGUCAAUUUCACAACCUGCUUCCCAAACAUGCAAAAACACUCAAAUUUAGGCUUUCUGAGCAUUAUAAAGUCUAUAAAUACCAAAUAGAAUAAGACAUAUAGGAGCCAUCAGAGAAUAUCAAGAAAAUAACUCGAAGAACACCAUCGAAGCCAAUUCUGAAGUGGAUUUCCAUCAAGAUCGAAAACCUCCUUUUAAUUUUCCUUGAAGUUUUUAUGAGAUUAUUUGUUUCUUGUGGUUUUUCUGUCACUGAGAUAUUUUUUUUAGGAUUAUGAACUAAUUCCCUAGAUACCUAAGGAAGAUCAAACCUAUGAUGAAUUCUAUUAUUUAAUUUUUGUUUUACAUGAUAAAUACUUGAUAUUAAUUCAUAUUUUUGGGAUAUUAAUUCAUGUUUAAUAUGCUUAAUUUAGUGGAGGAAAAGUCCAUGUUUAAGAGUAGAUCUAACAUAAUUGAGUGGAGUUGCAUGCAAUCCUAGAAAUAGGACGACAUAAAUCAACCAGAUUAGAGUCAAAUCUAAUAGGGAAAUUCGUAGAUCGAUGUGAUGAAACUAUAAGGGUUUUAAUUAGAAAGAGAUUUCAAAUAAUCAAUGUAGAGUCAGUUGUUUUUACUCUCGAAAGAGAUAUUAAUCAUUUAAUUCAGAGUCAUAAUAAUAGAUAAAGUCUAGGUGGAUUCUUUCCUAGGUAUUGUCUCUCUCAUUGGUUAAUAUUCGAUUAUUUCCUUGAUUCAUUCUCUGUUGAGUUCUUAGUUAAUUUAGUUUAGUAAUUUUAGCUUAAAACCUAUCACUCGAAUUUGUCGGUUAAAUAAUAAGAAAACGGUAAUUACUAAUACUUUUAGUCCUCAUGGAUAUGAUAUCUUUACUCACCGUAGCUAUACUAUUGUUCGAUAGGUGCACUUGCCUUAGUCAUAUUUUUAGUUAGUCACGUGAGACACAUCAAUAUACAUUUGGAAUCUCAAGUUAACAGUUUUUAGUAUGUUGAGUGUAGUGACUGUAGCUAUGAUCAAACUCUUAAAGAAACUUUCAAGUCCUUCAAGAUACUGGGUUGUAAAAUGCCCAAAUGGGAGUCCAGAAUUUCUGUUUCAUGCUAUCAAUAUAUGUAUAUGAUAAACAGAAAAUGUGUACAAGGAUGAAAGUUACUAUACUAGGCAUAGAAUAAACAACAAAUGUAUAUGCUAAAGAAAUAUUAAAUUCAUUUGUCAAAAUUCUUUUCAUUUAUGAUAGAUGAAGUAUACAUAUAUUUUUUUAGCAAUGUAUAAGGAUGUAUAGCAAAAUUGUAUAAAGUUGUUUUCUAUUGCCAUAUGUUAUACCUUUCUGCAGCCUAAUAGCUAAGGAUGUUGAGAACAGAAACUCUAGUUUUGACCAAGAGCCUCAACAAGCACCCCACUCUAUCUUCAAGAUCUUGAAUACUUGACUCCAAUUUCUGCAACUCAAUUUGUGCAUUAUCAAUGCUCAUUUUACUAGAUUUUCUGGUCUUGUUACCAAUGAGAGUGCAUAAAACUGCAUCCACUUUCUCGAAUUCAUUUGUUUUCGUUGCUUCUCCCUCGUGUGUUACGUGUUUAGAGCUCAUCAACUUGGACAGAAAACACCAAUUGGUCGAUUUUGAUUCCAUCUUUGUAAUUCAACCUCCAAAUUAGCAAAAUUAGAUCUUAAUCUAACAGACCUAAAAGGUGCACCAAACCAUUCUGGAAUGAUUAUUAAAAUUUAUCCCCAAACUAAGAAAACAAAGAAAAUUUAUGGGAAAAACAACUAGACCAUAUAACUUUCCUAUUACUAACUAGAAACAUGUAAAUUUUCAUUUAAAUACAAUUGGAAUCUCAAGUUAACAGUUUUGAGUAUGUUGAGUGUAGUGAUUGUAGCUAUGAUCAAACUUGUUGGAAUUUUGAUACUGUUGCGAGAUGACCAUUCAUGCAGCAAACACAUUUGGCGAACCCAUUAAGAUUGGCAAUCUCACAGAAAGUGGCGAGCUCAUUAAUUUUGGUGAACAAAAAAAUAUGAACAGGAUUUGAUGAGUUUACUUGCAAGACAAGUUAAACAAAAUAUAUUUGCUUUCUAGAAGAUUUGGUUUUUUAUUAGUAUAACAUAUUUAGCAUUUAUUAGUAUAAAUAUCUUUUUUAUUUCUUUCCAUAUUUGGGAGUUUUUUCUUGCCAUAAAUACCAUUGUUACAUUGUUCAAAAUAGAUGAGUUAAAAAUAAUAAAAACCUUAGCAAUCAUUUUUGUUGCUAAUAUUUUUUCGUUUCUUCUCUACAAUUCUUCCUUUCUUAGUAUUGACUUAAACACCAUUGAGGGACAGUGCUACAGUUGCUAAAAUUAAACACCACAGUGACGAGCGAGCUAAAAGAUACAAGGUAAUGUCCUAUAUUCAAAAUGGCAUCUUGGAUGUCAUAUUCAUACGCAUUAUGGCCUGUGAAAAUAAAGGAAAAGUUUCAAGCUUCAGAUAAGACCAGACAACAACAACAACAACUCAUUAAUCUCAGGAGAUAUUCUGAGAAUUUGAAGAUGAAGGAGCCAGAAACAGUGAAGUAAUAUGCAAACAGGAUUAUGGCGGUUGUAAACAACAUCAAGCUAUUUGGGGAAGAGUUCGCAGCUAGCAAGGUCGUUGAAAAGGUCAUAAAAACACUUCCUGAGAGGUAUGAAUCAAAUAUUUCCUCACUCAAAGACUCAAGGGAUCUCUCGGUGAUCUCUCUUUCAGAAUUGAAAAAUUUAUUGUAUGCUUAAGAACAAAGAAUAGCAUCAAGGAAUAAGGAGCAGGCAGAAGAAAAAGCUUUACGAGCCCUGAGCAUUGAAGGUGAAAACCCCCAAAAACAUAAGGGAAAUAAAGGUUGGUCAAAAGAUGAAGGUGAAGUUGAUAAGAUGGUGGAUAGAAGAAAUAUUCACCAUGUUUGCAUUGUAAGAAAAACACUCAUCUUGCAAAAUAUUGCUAGUACAGACCAAAUAUUAAGUGCAGAUCAUGCAAGCAGUUAGGUCAUAUAGAGAAGGUAUGCAAGAACAUAGGGUGAACCCCUCAACAGAAUAUGCAAGCUCAAGCAACUGAGGAAGAUUGCAUUCAAGAAUAGCAGGUGUUCACAACCACAAGUUAUGCUUCAAAGAACAAAGUCGUGAAAGGUUGGUUGAUCAAUAGUGGAUGCACCAACCAUAUGACCUCUGAUGAAAGAAUCUUCACGAAGAUUGAUCGAAGUUGCAAUCUUAAAGUAACAGCGAACUCUUAGAAGCUAUGGGUAAGGGUGAACUUGUGCUUAAUUCAUCAUCAAGUUCUAAAGUAAUUGGUCAACUACUUGCAAAAAUUUACAAUGUAGUUUUUAAGAAUUAUGGCUGCAUAAUAUUUGAUUCAUUGGGACAUUAAGUUGUAACAGCCUCGAUGAGAAAUAGAAGUUUUAUGUUGGAUUGAAAUUUGGCGAACUCAAGGGCCUACACUAGUACGGUCAGUGAUGCGAACCUUUGGCACAAAAGAAUAGGACACGCGAACUAUAAGUCUCUGAGUCGAUUGUGCGAAGUAGGUUUAGUUCAAGAAAUAAUCAAUGUUUUGAGAGAUUCCAAAACUACUGUGAAGAAGCUAGAAUCAUCACCAGCUCACCAAUAUUUACACUCCAUAGUAGAAUAGAGUCUGGGAAAGAAAGAAUAGGAUAGUAAUAGAUAUGGCAAGGUGCCUAUUAUUUAAAAGCAGGUUGCAAAAUAAGUUUUGGGCUGAGACAGUAAACACAUCAGUCUAUUUACUGAACAAGCUACCAUCUAAGACAGUAAAAGAGAUGACUCCAUUCGAAGCAUGGAAUGGAAACAAACUCUCUAUUUCUUACUUAGAAUUUUUUGGCUAUGUCUAUUUUAUUCGUGUUCCACAUGUGAAAAGGAACAAGUUAAAAAUAAGGUCGCAACCAUGUAUCUUUCUUGGGUAUAGCAAUAAUAGGAAGGGAUAUAGAAUUUAUGAUCCUUCCUCCAAGAAAAUUUUGGCUAGUAGGGAUGUUGUGUUCGAUGAAAGCAAAACAUGGAAUUAGGAUACUACUAAGGUUGAGCAAAGGUUGGGCAAAUUGGGUUCGCAAAACUAUUAUGAUGAUGGCGAGCUGAGGUCGUGGUCUAGCAAUGAGUUAACUAAUGUAACUUCGAUGACACUCCAGUAAGGAGCACACGAUCCAUUAAUGAGAUCUAUCAGAGAGCUGACGUAGCACUACCUGAACCUAAGAGCUUUGAAGAGGUUGAAACUAUUGAAGGCUGGAAAGAAGCCAUGCAAGAAUAAAUAAGCAUAAUUCAUAAGAACCAAACUUUGGAGCACAUUGACAAACCAUCGCACAAAAAGGUCAUUAGUGUCAAGUGGGUGUUCAAAACCAAAUUAAAUGUUGAUGGUUCUCUUAACAAGCUGAAGGCGAGAUUGGUUGUGAAAGGUUUCAGUCAAUAGUAUGGCAUUGAUUACUGGGAGACGUUUGCACCAGUAGCAAGGCUGGACACGAUCAGAUUAUUAUUGUCCUUAGUAGCAUAGAUGUUGUAACAACCCGUUUUUCAGUGGUUUUAUGGCCACAGAUUCGAUGAGUAAGUUCGUAAAUGUUAGUAUUUAAUUUUUACAAGUCAAUUAUGAUUAUUAAAAGGUUUUUGAUAUGGUAAUUUACGCUAUUCGAAUAAUUAAUUAAGUUCAUCUGGUAAGACCCUAAAGUCAAGUGGCUUUAGAAAAUGCGGUAUCGGGACCUCAGUUCUAUAAACCGAGUCAUAAAUAUUUUUAUAAAUAGUUACGGAGUUUUAUAAAGGCCCUAUUAAAGUUCCAUUGAAAAAUUUUAACGUUUCGAUAAUUAAUUAAGACAAAAAGACUAAAUCAUAAAAGUUGAAAAAAGUCUAUCGUUAUUAGUUUAAAUGUGUUAUUUGAUUGAAGAAUUAUAAUUGAAGGGUCUUAAUGGGUAAAUUACCCAUUCUUAAGUUGGUGGACGGUUAAAGCUUUAUUUUCUUUUAAUUUUAUAUGUAUUUUAUAUGUUAUAAUACUAUUAUUAAAAUAUAAAGAUAAAAUAAUGAAUAAAAAGGCUAAUAAAAUAAAACAAAAGGGCAUCAUCUUCUUAAGCACACUGAAUGUGCCAUGGAAAAAGAAAUGGAGAAGUUUUAAGCUUCGGCCUUGCUUUGAAUGAUGCAUGUAAGUCAGUUUUAGUCUCGUUUUUAAUAAUUUUUGUGUUUUUUAGAUCGUUGCAACUAGGUUCAGCUAGCCCGUACCUUCGAUUUUGAAACUAUUAAAGAUUUUAAAUGUUCUUAUUUAUGAAUCUUGUGGUUUUUUAUGUUAAAUGAUGAAUUUGAGAUAUUAGUGGCUAUGUAACAGUAUUUUGUUAAGUGAUUUUUAAUGUAUUUGUCGAUUAAGGACUAAAUUGUUGAAUUAAUAAAAGUACAAGGAUUUGAUGUGAAAUUAUUACAAAGUUGGGCUAUAUUGGGUGCCAUGAACAUUUUGCUAAGCUUCAAUUCGGGUAAUAAUGGUUAAAUUGCAUGUUUUAGGCUCAUGGACUAAAUUGAAUAAAAGUAAAAUAUUAGGGGUAAUUUUGUAAAAUUUUCAAACUGACUAAAUUGCAUAAAAUAAUUUUUUUUGCUAUCUAAAUUAAUAAACUGAAUGAAAUUCUUAAUUUAGAUCAAGAUUGAGUGGAAAAUCGAAGAGAAUGAAAAUUACAAAAAUGCCCCUAUAGUUUGACAUUUCUGCAGUUCAAUCUAGGUAAGUUCGUACGGUUAGAAUUUAACAUCAAUAUGAAUUUUUGAGUAGAUUAACAUGGAAAAACUUAUAUAUUUAUUUUUAAUUGUUUCUAAUUAAUGGUAAUUCGAGAUAUAAUAUUGAAUUUGAUGCUCGAUUUGGAUUGAACGCGGGAUAGAGUACAAUUGUGAUUUGUUGUGUUUUGGGGGUUUGAAGUGGAGAUGGCAUUGGAGGGAGAUACUUGUAUAUUACCCAGGUAAACCGAGGUUCAGCAUUUUUUGCAAACUCUCGUGUUAUACUCUUUGUCUGGUGUGUUUCAGUUGAAUUAGCUUUUCUGAGCUUCUGUCUAGUGUGUUUUGGUUGGGCUCUUAUGAGCUUCUGUUGAUUUGACGAUGUACUCUUAAUUGUAAGUCGUUAUUCGAAUGGGAAAUCCUAAUGAAUUUGAAAGAUUUGUUAUUUAUUGAAUAUUGAUCUGAACAUAGAUGAAUUCAUCGAUUGAAAUUGGGAUUGACAGGGAAUUCUCAUGAUUAAUUAUUAUUGUUUGAACUGUUGUAUUUACUUUGGUAAGAUUUAUAAUGCAUCGAACUUACUAAGCUUUAUUAAGCUUACUUAUGUUGUUUAAUGUCAUUGUAGAUACUCGGAAGGUUGGACGACCGGGUCGGCACUCAAGUCACACUAUUUAGCUCAAUUCAGUAGAUUUUGGAACGUUUAUUUCAAAUUAUAUGGCAUGUAUAGGCUCUUGUGUGAUUAUCAUUAAUUUUUUGGUUUAUAUAUAAAUUAUAGAUGAUCUUUUGUGUAAAUGGUCAACUUAUAUAAUAUAUGAGAAAGAGGUAUAGUUUCUAUGCUAAUGUGAAUAAUAUGUACCAAAGAAAUGUUGUGAUUGAGAUACCUUUGAUAGGUAUUUUGGAUAGGUAUUGCUUGAAUGAAUUGAUUAUUAUUUUGAUGCAUAAUUAUAUAUACUUGUGAUACCAAUGAGGGUACAUUGGUUAGGCACUUAAUAGGUUGGUUUUGGUGUGUUUUUGGCUCGAUUAAAGUCGUUCUGAUUUGGUAUUUUUGUUAAUAUUUGAGUUUCCUAAGGUCCAAGCAAACUUGAAAUGAUAAUCUUGUGUUUUAAGGUUCAUUUUAGGUCCACACGGCAUGAGACACCCACACGGCAUGAGACACAAGCGUGUGUCUCAACCGUGUGUGACACACGACCAUACGACACGGCCUAUGUGUAAUGACCUGAUAGUCAUGGGUUUCAAAAAGUGCAUUUUUGAGACUCUGUUACCGUAAAUCGGACUCGUAAAAAUUGUUAGGUGAAUUUGCUUGAAUUAAGAGUAAUUAAGUAAAAGAACUAAAUUGUAUAUAGGGUAAAAUUUGAAUUAUAGAUUAAAGAAAAAUUAAAAUGACCAAAGAAACAAUUAUGACAUUGCUUAUAAAUGAGGUGGCAUAAGAUAGAUACUUAUAAAAUUUAAAGUUAAAAUAUAUAUUAUAAUAUUAUAUCUUAAUUAUUAAGUAUAUAUAUUAUAUUAUAUAUUAUAAUAAGUAAAUAUAAUAAAUAAAAGAAACAAAAAAGAAAGGUAGAAGGUUAAACGAAAUAGAAAGAAAAAAAGAAAGAAAACGAGAAAAGAAAAAGAAUGAAGGAGAAAGACACAAAGCUAGGGAUUUCAAUUGUUUAAAGUUCAAUUGGUUAGUCAAUUUAGUCCCAUUUCUUGUAAUUUUUAUGUUUUUGGAAUUCUAGUAUUGAAUACUACCCGACCCAUGUCAAAAUUUAAGAAAUUAUUAAGUUUUUAAGUGUUUUCUAUGUUGAAUAAUUUUAGAUUUAAGGAUUAAAAUUGAUAGAUUUUUAAGUUAGAAAUGAAAAAGAAUUAAUUUGUAGAAUAAAUUGUAAAUUUUGAGUAUUAGGGACUAAAUUGUGAAAGUUUAAAAUUUAGGGAUUUAAGUGAAAUUAGGGAGUUAAAUUCAGUCUAAAGUGAAAUUUGCAUGAAAAUAUAAGAGUAAUUGUGAAGAACUAAAAGUUAGUCUCGGUUUAGGGACUAAAUUAGAAUUUAGGCAAAUAUUGAGUAAAAAUUAAACUAUUAAAUAUGAGAUUGAAUUGUGUUGUAUUGAUGAAUUUUAACUGUUUUAAUUUCGUAGCUAAUGUCGAACCAGAACCCUCGACUAAAAAAGGGAAAGAUAGAGUCGACAAGGAAUAACUCGAAAUUUUCGGUUUGUAUUUCUAUAAACUAAAUCUAAUUAUUAAUUGUUGUAUUUUGAUUAAAUGUUUAUGGUAAGUGAUUAAGGUGAGUAUUUGGCAUUUUGAUAUUGAACUGAAUUUAUAUGUAUAUAUGAUUAUAUGAAAAAUUGAUAUUGGAUAUUGGUUAUUUUUUAAUUGUGAAAUUAAACCCUAUUAAAUGUAUCGGGUUGAAUUGGAUAUAGAUGGCAUGCCAUAGGAUUGGAAAAGUUUAGGGAUUUCUUCGACUUAGAGUCGAUGAGACACUAGAUGUCAAUUUACUACUUCAGGUUAAUUCAAUGAAACAAUGGGUGCCAAUUUACUUCGAUUUAGCCGAUGAGACACUCGGUGUCAAUUUAUUACUUCGAAUUAUCCAAUGAGGCAUUGAGUGCCAAACUGGUGUGUUUUGGUUGGAUCUGUGUAUCCGUCUGAGUCCGAGUCGUAUUAAUAGGGUAAAAUGAAUAAAUAAGCUCUAUAAUUAAUAUUGAAAUGGUAUAGUAUGAGAAAUGGAAGUGAAUUGAAUAUGGAAUGGAUAAAACAAUUGCAUAAAUAAAAUGUGAGUUAAAUUGUGAAAAGCUAUUUCUAUAGCAAGUGAUGGAAAUCGAGUAUUGUACGGUUUAAAAUGUUCAAAUUUGCUUAAUAAUUUAUUGUACAUAUUAUAUUGUUUUAUCUAAAAAUAUUCGGAUUAUAGAAAUACCACUAAGUUUUACUCAGUGUACGGUUUUGUUUUCCGUGCACAGGUUAGGUACUUAUUUUUUAUCGCCGAUUCAGCAUCCAACAACGAUCCCAAUCUCAAACGUGGUGAUGUUUUUCCUUUUGUGUCGGCAUGUACCUAAUGUGUCUAACUAUAAGAUAUUUUUUGAAUUAAUUGUAAUGAGAUUAUAAGUUUAAUAUUGGUUGGUUAUAAACAUAUAAAUAUGUGUUUGUGUUAAAGUUAUAUUAUGGCAUGUUUAAUUGGUGUCUAAAGGCUUAUAAACUAGGCAAAUGGAUUGAAUUAGGUAUGUUUAUAAUUUGGAUUAGAAUGAUGUUUUAAUUAUAUGAAUUAAUGAUAUAAUUGUGGUACCAUUGAGGUACUUUCGUUAGACACCUAGGAUGAUUGUUUUGACAUGUUUUGAAUGUGUUUGAAUUGGUUAAACGAAUGAUUGUUGAGUUACUUAUUGUCCAAGCUUGCAGGGAAUGGUAAACUUGUUGUUUAAGGUACAUUUGGAGUCCACACGGCUAGCACACGGACGUGCGAGGCCAUUUCAAAAGGGCACACGGGCAUGUGACUUGGCUUUGUGACCAAAGUCAGAGAGUUACAAGGGUAUAGACACGGGAUGUGACACCGUUGUGUGUCCCUACUUUGAAUACCCACACGGUCUAAGACAUGGGCGUGUAUCUUGGUCGUGUGAGCCACACGGCCUAACCACAUGAGCAUGUGAACCCUGCAACUUUGAAAUUUUUUAAUAUUUUUCAAAAAAUUCUCUGAGUUUUUAAAUCAGUCUUGAUUUGUUUCUAACACGUAUUUUAGGCCUCGAGGGCUUGAAUAAGGGACAAUAUGUAUGAGUUUGAUUGGUUUUGACUUGAAUAUUAUAUGAUAUGACAUGUUUGAAAUGCUUGGAUAUUAUCAUGGCGUCUCCUUAACUUUUCAUCGUGUUUUUUUGGUUUCUCCUUAACAUGUGUUCGCCAUUCAUCUAGUUCAUUGAUUUGCAACAUUCGUUCCUCAUGAGUCAUUCUUUUUCUAUUGCAUGGACUGGAACUUGGCUCCAUAACAUUUUUCGAGGGUCCUGUAAAGAAGUUUGAGUCACAUGGUUACUCAUAUUAAUAGAACUUGUAAAAUCAUCUCGAUCAUUAGAUGUCUUAACAGAAUCAUGAGCUUGCAGAGUAAUCGUUUCGUCACCUACACGAAGUACUAAUUCACCUAUACCAACACCAAUAAUAGUUCUAGCAAUUGCUAAAAAUGUUCUUCCUAAAAUUAAAGGUACUUCAUUACCCUCAUCCAUGUCUAAAACAAAAAAAAAAUCAAGAUGUAACACCCCAAACCCGGCUUAGACAUUAUGGUCGGAUCUGAUGUGUCACAUCAAUGUGUCACUCAAAAAAUUGAACUCGUUGGUAGAAAAAAAUUUCUAAGUUUAUAAAAGAACCCCUUUAUUAUUAAUUUACAAAUCAAUUAGUCGAAACAUCUGUCUUGUUAUCUGAUAUUAAUUUAAUCAAUUAGUCUAAAAUUGCAAAAGAGCUUUUUGAAUUCUAUAGUUUUAAACUCGUGUCCUUGAAAACAGUAAUUAUUUUAAAAUUCAUUUUCUCCUAAACUAGCAAUUUAAAAUAUUGAAGUAAAUGCGCAAUUAAAAAUUUAAACCAACUUAAAGGCCUUAUUACAAAAACAAAACCCAACUUAUUAUUUAAAUCAAAAUAAAAGCAAAUAUGAAAAGCAGUGAUUGUGUGGCCAUCUCCGAGUCCCUCGCAACACCGAAUCGCCUAUGGCUGAGGAUUACCUGCACAGUUAAAGGAGAGGGUGAGUUUAUGAAACUCAGUGUGUGAUCCCUUUCUAGACAAUCACUAUGCAACAUGCAGAAUCAACCUGGGCCUGAGACCUAUACAAUAUCAGUACAGUGUGGGCCUUAGCCCAUUACAGUAACAGUGUGUGGGCCUUAGCCUAAUACAGUAAUCAGUACAAUGCAGUAAUGCAACCCAUCUCAAUCCAGCCAACACACCACUCCGUAGCCACCAGUACAGUAUACUUCCCCUAUAUCAGAAUCCCAACCCCAUGCAGUAUGUCAUGUAAUAAAUCAUACGUAUAUGCAGUAUGUCAUACUCAGUAACAGUCAUAUAUAUAACAUAGAGCAAAUCAAUCAUACACUCAUUUCAUCUCUUGGGAGUAUAAAAGUCAUUUUACCCGAUGGGGGGUAUUUCGAUCAUUUUACCCUUCGAGGGUAUUUCAGUCAUUUACCCUUCGAGGGUAUUUCGGUCAUUUUACCCUUUGAGGGUAUUUUGAUCAUUUUUCCCUUCAAGGGGUAUUUUGGUCAUUUUACCCUUCGGGGUAUUUCGGUCAUUUUACCCUUUGAGGGUAUUUCGAUCAUUUUACCCUUUGGGGGUAUUUCAGUCAUUUUACCCUUCGAGGGUAUUUGGAUCAUUUUACCCUUCAGGGGUAUUUCAAUUAUUUUACCCUUUGGGGGUAUUUCAGUUAUUUUACCUUUUGAGAGUAUUUCGAUCAUUGUACUCUUCGAGUAUAUUACGAUUAUUUUGCCCACGAAUCGCAAGUUGGGCUUACCACUCGAGCGUCCGCACACCCGUGUGGUCUCAAAUGCCAUGUUUACGGCUUUUCGACUUUUCGCCAAUCUACAGUUGUAGUGGGGAAAUUACACACCUGUUUGUGAAAACGCACAAAAAUCCACGAACACCCAAAAUUUGCAUUCAAACACGUUUUCCAUUAGGUUCUAAACAGAAAAGGGGUAAUCUCCUUCUUUUGCAACAUUAACCAGAAUUGAACGAAUACUUGCCUUGGCUAACAAAAGUGGCUUAGCCCACUUAUACCACCGACGAAGGCUGACAAAAAUCUUCUUAACAGAUAUCUGCAUCACAACGGACUUCAUUAAACAGUAUCGCAUAAUCAUGUGAUUUAAAACCACACACGGUAACUUACAGACCCAAAAAAAGAACUCGGCCUUUACAUUGGAAUACUAAACUGCGUACUUACCUAUGCUCGCGUGACGAGAGGAAGGUUUCGACGACUUAAAAACACUUGAAUAUUCUUUCCCUCCUUGAGGAACUCAAAUUGUCAGAGAAUGGAAUGGCGACAAUCGGUUGAACCACAAUCAAUAAAGGAAAAAGAAAUAGCUAUCGAUCACAAAGACAGAAUGAUAAUAAGAGAUAGAAAUCAAAGACAGAAUGAGAAGGACAUUCGGCCAAAAAAAAUGAGAAGAGAAAAGUGAUUCGGCUCAGCAGAGAAGAGAAGAGGAAAGAGAAAAAGGAUUCGGUAAAGAUGGAAUUCGGCUAAAACAAACAAAAAAGAAAGAAAAAGAAAAGUAAAGAGAAGAAAAUGAAAUAAAUGAGCAAACCCGAGAGUAACUCCUAGAACUUGGCAAAAUUCGACUCCAAAACUAAAAUGUGAAACCCGAAACUCACAAAAAUUGAAGCAGACUGAGAGAAAAACUCCAAAAUAAACCAAAACCGAUAACCUUACAUAAAAAAUGAUCAAAUUUGGCACAAACACCCUCACCCAGCCGAAUUCUCAAUGCUUGACUUACCCCAAACGGCACAACACUCCUCACAAAACAACUCCUUGAUUUAUUCCUAAAAUCUUUUCCCUUAUCCCUCAUUGAUUCACUCCGCCUAAUCACAAUCCCACUAUUCUCUCCAUGAUUCACUCCUCUAUUCAAAUCCCACAACAUUUCAGUCAAACUCCACCACCUCACUACACAGGUGGUAAAAAUAAACACUCUACAGUGCAGCACAGGACUCGAACCUCAGACCUUAAGAGUACUUCACACGCCACCUACCACUAGACCAAUAGGCUCUUUUUGUCAUAAAACAAGCAUUGAUAUUUAUAAAGCCUAUGUGCCAAUGUCCAUAUUCAUUUAAGAGCAAAACUAAAAAUUCUGUAAAAGCCAAAACUUGAACCCAAACACACCCAAAAAACUUAGCCAAUAAAGCAAACAAGUAAUUUUUUUCGAAACAUACAAAAAUUAAAAACUUGAAUUCUGGGGUGUUACAACUCUACCCCCUUAACAAAAUUUCGGCCUCGAAAUUUACCUGGUCAGAAAUGAUGAGGGUAUUACUGUCGCAUCGCCUCUUCGGGUUCCCACGAGGCUUCUUCUGAACUGUGAUUACACCAAAGUACUUUAACUAAUGGAAUAGAUUUCUUCCUCAAUAAUUUAACCUCACGAUCCAAAAUCUGCACUAGCUCCUCCUUGAAGGUUAGGUCCGGCCUAACCUCGAUCUCCUUAACUGGUACAAUGUGUGUGGGAUCAGAGCGAUAACGCCUAAGCAUGGAGACAUGGAGCACAUCAUGAAUCCGGUCUAACUCUGGAGGCAACUCAAGUUGAUAUGCGACCGGACCUACACGUUUUAGUAUACGAUAAGGCCCAAUGAACUUAGGGUUAAGCUUACCCUUCCAUCCAAACCUCAUAUCUUUUUUCAUGGACAAAACUUGAGGAAAACGUAGUUCCCUACAGAAUACCCAAUCUCUCAGUGUUUAAGGUCAACGUAAGACUUCUGCCUAUCAGAUGCAUCCCUCAGUCGGUCUUAAAUCAGUUUUACCUUCUCUUCAGUAUCAGAAACUAAUUCUGGCCCCAGAACUCGCCGCUCGCCUAACUCAGUCCAAUAAGUAGGAGUACGACACCUACAACCAUAUAAUGCCUCAUACGGUGCCAUUUGAAUACUGGACUGGUAGCUAUUAUUAUACACAAAUUCUGCUAAUGGCAAAUAGUCUUCCCAACUUCCUCGAAAAUCUAUUACACAACACCUCAACAUAUCUUCCAAUACUUGAAUCAUCUUUUCGACUGACCAUUCGUCUGGGGAUGAAACGCAGUACUAAAGUCCAGUCUAGAACCCAAAGCCUUGUGUAAUUUCUUCCAAAACUGAGACGUAUAGCGAGGAUCUCUAUCUUAUAUAAUACAAAUCGGUACCCUAUGCAGUCUUACAAUCUCAGCCACAUACAGUUUAACCAACUUCUGCAAAGAGUAAUCAGUACCAACUAGUAUGAAAUGGGCAGAUUUAGUCAUUCGAUCUACAAUAACCCAUACUGAAUCCUUCUUGGUAGGCGUUAAGGGCAGCCCACUCACAAAAUCUAUGGUUACUCUCUCCUACUUCCAAAGUGGAAUUUUAACUGGAUGUAGUAACCCUGAAGGUAACUGAUGUUCUGCCUUAACUUGCUGACAAGUUAAACACUUACCCACAAAAUUAGUUACUUCACGUUUCAGUCCUGGCCACCAGUAAAACUCACGAAAAUCUCGAUACAUUUUAUUCCCUCCUGGAUGCAUAGCAUAAGGACUACUAUGCGCCUCUCAAAGUAUAGAUUGCCUCAAAUCAUUAUCCUUCGGUACACAGAUUCUCCCACGGAAGCACAGUACUCCUUCAUUAUUUAACCAAAAUUCAAAGUUUCCCUAUUCUCAACCUGUCAGAAACGAGAAACCAGUGACUCAUCCAACAACUGUUUACCCUUAAUCUAUUCAGUCCACGUCGGUCUAACUUGCAACUCAGCCAACAAGCUACCAUCAUCAAACAGGCUGAUACGAGCAAACAUCGCUCUGAAAUCAGAUACAGCUCUACGGCUCAGUGCGUUCGCUACUACGUUAGCCUUACCGGGAUGGUAUUCAAUCGAGCAAUCAUAGUCCUUAAGCAGCUCUAUCUAUCUUUGCUGCCUAAGAUUAAACUCCUUCUGAGUGAGGAGGUACUUAAGACUCUUGUGAUCUGUGUAGAUAGUACACUUCUCACCGUAAAGAUAGUGCCUCAAAAUUUUUAGCGCAAAUACCACCGCAGCUAACUCCAAGUCAUGAGUAGGGUAAUUCGCCUCAUGAGGCAUAAGCUGACGAGACGCAUAAGCAAUCACCUUUCCCUCUUGCACCAGCACACAACCCAAACCAACGUUUGAUGUAUCACUGUAGAUAGUGAAUUCCUUCCCAGACUCUGGUUGUAUUAAGAGAGAGGCCUCAGUCAGAACUUUCUUCAAUUUCUCAAAACUUUCAUGCUGCUUAUUAGUCCAAUUAAACGGUACCCCUUUACGCAGCAACUUAGUCAAGGGUGCGGCAAUUAAGGAAAACCCCUCAACAAAAUGUCUAUAAUACCCUGCAACACCUAAAAAACUUCGAAUCUCAAAUACGGUCUUAGGUGGUUUCCAAUCUAGUACAGUUUCAAUUAUUCAAGGAUCAACCCUCCCCUCGGCAGAUACCACGUGGCCCAAAAAUGUCACUUCUCGCAGCCAGAACUCAUACUUGCUAAACUUAGCAUAUAGUUAUUUCUCCCUUAAAAUCUGUAGAACAAUUCAGAGAUGUGCAUCAUGCUCAUCCUCGAUUCUCGAAUACACCAAGAUAUCGUCUAUGAAUACCACCACGAACCGAUCCAAAUAGGGCUUAAAUGCUCGAUUUAUUAGGUCCAUGAAGGCAGCUAGUGCAUUUGUCAACCCAAACGGCAUAACUUGGAACUCGUUAUGACUAUAACGAGUCCUAAACGCAGACUUAUACACAUCAGCCUCAUUAACUCUCAACUGAUGGUACCUAGAACGAAGAUCUAUUUUGGAGAAAAUCAAAGCUCCUUACAACUGAUCAAAUAAAUCAUCUAUCCUCGGAAAAGGAUACUUAUUCUUGAUAGUCAGUUUAUUCCAUUAUCGAUAGUCAAUACACAUGCGCAUGGUCCCAUCUUUUUUCUUUACGAACAACACUGGUGCUCCCUACGGAGACAUACUAGGUCGAAUGAAUCUUCGAUCCAACAGUUCUUGGAUUUGAGCUUUUAACUCCAUCAACUCAUUCGGUUCAUCCUAUAAGAGGCGAUAGACACUAGAGCCGUUCCUAGGAAAAGCUCAAUUCCAAAUUCAACUUCGCAGCUUGGAGGCAACCUAGAGAGCUCAUCAGGAACAACAUCAAAAAAUCCUUAAUAGUUCUGACAUCCCUAAUAGAAGAACCCUUAGAAACGGAUGCACUAAUAUAAGCUAGAAACGCUUCACAACCCUUAUGAACCAGUUUUUCGGCCCUUAAAGAAGACAUCACAUUAGAUAGAAAAUCCUUUCGCUCCCCAAUCACAAUUACCUCCUUAUCCUCAGUAGUCUUUAAUACUAUACGCUUAGCAGCACAAUCCAAACUUGCACGAUGUUUAACCAACCAAUCCAUCCCUAAAAUCAAGUCAAAAUCACCAAACGGUAGCUCCAUCAAAUCCGCUAAAAAUAUAACUCCUUGAACCUCUAGGGGCACAUCUCUAAACAACUUGUCUACCCUUACCGAUUGUUCCAGUGGAUUCAACACCGUCAUCUUAUUAACAGUACUCUCACACAUGAUACCCAAGGUGCCAGGCACAGUGCAUGCAAUGUAUGAAUGCGUAGACCCUAUAUCAAUUAAAGAGUGUAAGGUACAUUAUGAAUAGGGAACAUACCAGAUAUAACAUCUGGAGCGUCACCAUCCUCACGGCGACGAGCAGUAUUGACCAGUGCUGGCUACCUCGCCUCAUUGUUUCCAACCCCUCUGCCAUACGUUCCACGACCUCAGCCCACACCAUUUCCACCUCUAACCUGCCCACGGCCUCUAGGUGGCUGCUAACCACCUCUCACUGGCUGAACAAAAUCCUGACCUACAGCUUGCAUCUGAGUAGGCCUCUGAGGACAAUUCUUAACUUGAUGCUCCUUAGACCCACAUCUGAAACAUGCCCCAAUCUUCUUCCAACACUCACCCAAAUGAUGUCUCCCACAUUCAACACAAUCCUAUAGUCUAAUAACAGUAACCCCAGCUUGGACAGGCCCAUCAAACCUGGCCUUCUUUUUAGGCUUUUCAGAAGAACUUGAGGGCUCUGAAUCCCUCCUAAACCUGCCCCUAUCUUUCUCACGAUUCUGGGGCUCAGAGCACUUUACAUCCUCGGUGAUUUUCACCUUUUCAAUUAGGGUAACAAAAUCUCGAUCCCUCUGCGGAGCUAUCAGAACUCACAACUCAUCCCAGAGGCCAUCCUUAAAUCGCACAUAGCGUUCAUACUCAAUUGCCACUAUCCCACGUGCAUAGCGACUCAGUCGCAGGAACUGUGCCUAAUAUUCUGCUACAGUCUUAUUCCCCUGGGUCAAGCUCAAAAAUUCUUUUCUUCGAGCGUCCACAUAACUUGUGCCCACAUACUUUCCUUGAAAAUCCAACUUAAAGAAAUCCCACGUUAACCAAUCAGCCUGAGUACCCUCUCUUACGGUAAGCCACCACUGAUAGCCCUCGUCUCGUAGUAAAGACAUUGCACCUUUUAGCUUUUGCUUAGAAGUGCAGUCAAGAUCAUCCAUUAUUCUUUCCAUGGCUUCCAACCAAUAUUCAACCACAUUAGGGGCUACUCCAGAAAUACCCCUAAAAAUUUCUGCUCCAUUCGACUGGAGUCAUUCUAAAAUUCACCCACGGCCCACAGCACCUUAACUAGUCCCUGUGACCCUUUCAAGAAUACGGAGCAUUUCUUGGGAUAGUGCAUCAUCCCUAGUCGCUCGAUCGAAUAUUAGGCAUGUGGCCCGAUGCCAAAGACCUAGCCCUAGCACACCCUCGGCCUCUACCACAGCCUCGAGUACCCCUUCUCCGAGUACCUCUAGUGCUCAUAUCAAAUAAUUUAUAAUCUGUUUAUGAAGUUUUAUGCAUUAGUUAACAGUUCCAGUAAUUUAAUCAAUUAAUCUAAAAUCGCGAAAGAGCUUUUUGAAUUCUAUAGUUUUAAACGCGUGUCCUUGAAAACGAUAAUUAUUUUAAAUUUCGUUUUCUCCUAAACUAGGAAUUUAAAAUAUGGAAGUAAAAGCCCAAUUAAAAAUUUAAACCAACUUAAAGGACUUAUUACAAAAACAAAACCCAACUUAUUAUUUAAAUCAAAAUAAAAACAAAUAUGAAAAACAGUGAUUGUGUGGCCAUCUCUGAGUCCCUCGUAGCACUGAAUCGCCCACUACUAUAAGCAUUGAGAUCAACAACUAGGGGCUCGUAGUGAUUCUUUCUCUGCCCCAAAAGUGUUGAAACAUUUUCAAAUAUUUAUAGUGUUCCAGUAACUAUAAAUGAAUGAGUGUAAUUAAUCAAAAGAUUAUAUUAUUUGAUUUUUUGAAAAAAAAGUUAUAACUAUUUAAAUAAUUUUAUUUGAAUAGUUAUAAUAUUAAAUGAAUAAUUAUGUAUUUUUUUAAAGACAUUAUUAUUCAGAAAGACACCUAUUGAUGAAAGAUGUCUCUGUGAAGAGGCAUGAAAAUUCCUAUAAAUAGGAAUGGGAUUUCAUUUGGAAAAUAUACCAACAAAUUAUAAUAUUCUUUCUUUCCCUCCUUCAUUUUCUAAUAUUAUUAGAUUAUUCUAUAAAGUAUUACUGUAGAAAUCCUUUGUAGAAAUUGAGUUUCCUAUUAUACAUUGCUUAGUGCAUAGUGGACCAUUCUUGUUAGUGCAAAACGAAAAUAGUCAUUGGCUUCAUUGUAUCCUCGAGGUUAAUUUGCUUGGAACUUAUUUACACACCGAAGAUAGGUGGGGGCGAAUAUAACAUAAAAGAUAGUGGCUUGAUACACACCUUGUAACCUUGUCCUAUUUCUUCUUUUUCUAUUCAAGUUCCAUUCGUGUGUUCGAGAUUUGCCUCACCGGAGUUUUGUACUAACAAUUUUAAGGUUAUAUUAUUCAUGAUGACUACCACAACACAUGAAAGUGGAACACUAAGGGAAUUGGCUACCAACUUUGUCAAACUUGAUCGGUUUGAUGGUGGUAAUUAUCGAUAAUGGUAGAAAAAGAUGCACUUCUUAUUAUCAACUUUGAAGAUUGCUUAUGUUUUGGAUGCUCCAAGACCUGAAGAGAAUGAAAACGAAUCUGUUGCUGCAACCCGAGAAAGACAAAAAUGGGACAAUGCUGAUUACAUGUGCAUGGGCCAUAUAUUGAAUGGUUUAUCUGAUGGUUUGUUCGACACCUACCAAAACGAGGUCACCACUAAAGAAUUAUGGGACAAAUUGGAGAUAAGAUACAUGACCGAAGAUGUUGCAAGUAAGAAAUUUCUUAUCAGUCGUUUCAAUAAUUAGCAAAUGGUUAAUUUCUUGUCAGUCGUUUCAAUAAUUAGCAAAUGGUUAAUGGUCAUUCUGUUAUGGAACAAUUCCGUGAUAUUGAAAAGAUGCUAAAUCAAUUCAAGCAAUAUGAUCUGAAAAUGGAUGAAAUGAUUGUUGCAUCCUACAUAAUAGACAAACUUCCUCCAUCUUGGAAACACUUUAAAAGAAGUCUAAAACAUAAGAAAGAGGAAAUAUCUCUUGAGGCUUUGGCAAAUCAUCUUCAUAUUGAAGAAGAAUAUCGACAACAAGAUCAGAACCUAAAUUCUAAAAAUGCCAAAGUGCAUGUUACGGAGGAAGUACAGACUACUAAACCAUUCCAGAGAAAGUUCAAACAAACUGGUAGAGCACCUAAGUUCAAAAAGAAACAAAAUGGCUCAUGCUAUCAUUGUGGAAAGCUAGGACAUUUCAAGAAUGAAUGUCGAUUUUUAAAGAAGAAAUCAUCUUCUAAGGCUAAUAAUAACGAAAAGUUCGUUGCAAUGAUAUCUAAAAUUAAUAUGGCACAAGAUGAUAAUACAUGGUGGAUUGAUACCGGAGCAACCAUGUGUGCAAAGACAAAAGCAUGUUCACAAAGUUCACACAAUGUGAAAAUGACAAUAUCUUGUACGUGGGAAAUUCUUCCAGCGCAAUAGUCAAAGGCUUGAUAAAUUUUGUUACUUUUAUUGAUGAUUGUUCUAGAUAUUGUUAUGUAUAUUUAUUGCAUUCAAAAGAUGAAGCGCUUGAUAAAUUUAAAGUUUAUAAAUCUGAAUUUGAACUUCAGUAGCUGAAAGGAAAAAUAGAGUCUUGACUGAAAUGGUAAAUUCAAUGUUAUCAUAUUCAGGUCUUGGAUAAGGUUUUUGGGGAGAAGCUGUUCUAACUGCUUGUCAUAUAUUGAAUAGAGUUCCUAAUAAGGAAACUAAAAUAACCCCCUAUGAACAAUGGAAGAAAAGGAAACCAAACCUUAAUUAUUUGAAGGUUUGGGGUUGUAGAGCUAUUGUCAAAAUUCCAACACCAAAGCGUAAAAAGUUAGGUCAAAGAGGAAUUGAACGCAUAUUUAUAGGUUAUGCACAUAAUAGCAAGGCAUAUAGGUUCAUGGUAAUUGAACCAAAUGAUUCAAUUUCAAUUAAUAUUGUUAUUGAAUCAAAAGAUGCUAUUUUUGAUGAAAAUAGAUUUAAUUCUACAUCAAGACAAUUACAACCACAACAAUUGAUUCAUUCUUCAAAUGAGAAUGAGAUUCCAUUGAAACAAAUUGAUAAUAAUGAUGAAUCUUGUCAAUAAUUAAGAAGAAGAAUUCAAUAAUGUUAUUUGAAUAGUUAUAAUAUUAAAUGAAUAAUUAUGUGUUUUUUUAAAGACAUUAUUAUUCAGAAAGACAUCUAUUGAUGAAAGAUGUCUAUUUGAAGAGACAUAAAAAUUCCUAUAAAUAGGAAUGAGAUUUCAUUUGGAAAAUAUACCAACAAAUUCUAAUAUUCUUUUUUUCCUUCAUUCAUUUUCUAAUAUUAUUAGAUUAUUCUAUAAAGUAUUACUGCAGAAAUCCUUUGUAGAAGUUGAGUUUCUUGUUAUACAUUGCUAAAUGCGUAGUGGACUAUUCUCGUCAGUGCUAAAUGCAAAUAGUCAUUGGCUUCAUUGUAUCCUCGAGGUUAAGUUGCUUGGAACUCAUUUGCACACCGAAGAUAAGUGGGGGCGAAUAUAACCUUAAAGAUAGUGGCUUGAUACAUGCUAAGUGUGACUGCUUGAACCUCCCUUAAGACGCUAACCAUGGCACAGGUCUCGUUCAAAGAGGUGCUUUCCUCGUGCUUCAAAUUCUUCAAGGUCUUCAAGAUUGCCCUUUUAGCUGCCUUCUUAGAGCUCAAGUAUUUUCUAACCUCAUUAGCAAAGCCUUUUGUAGCACCUUUCUUUCGGCGCAAGAUAGAUUGAAGUUCUACGGUGCGUUCCUUUACUUGCAAUACGACAUCCUUGGCAGUGGUGAAUUCAUCUAAAAGCCCAAGAGAUCCAUUCAACAGCUCAUCGACAUAUUCCCCGUGCUGCUCAUGGGAUAAGAUUUUUUGAGUCAAGGGUAGCAGAAGCAGUUUCUCAGUGCAAUCAUGUAAAUUGUGAAGUCUAUCGAGUUUUUGGUUUAAGGACGACGAUAUAGAUGCCGACUCAGACGAUGCCAAUCUGCUCAAAUGCUCAUCAACCUCGGAAGCAAGAGGGUGGGCUCGAGAGGGAAAGCUAUUGGAACGAUUGUGGUAACUGGUGGUAGCCAUUAUUUCUUCUGGAAAUAAAAACUUGGAAGUUGUGAUCUGAAUUCAAUUUUCCUUUUCUUCCCUUCAUCUACCUAAUAUAUAUAUGCAUAUAUUGUGUGAAAGAGGAGACAUGAAGAAUCUCACCCUUCCAAAUUGAAGUCAUGAGGUAACAUGAACUUGAUACCAAUCUGAACUACUAUGUCAGCAUGGUUGAGCGAUGUCUCCCUCCUAACAUGCUCCACAACUCAUAACAUGAUUCUUUUAAUUAGUAUAUAAGAUUCCUGAUAUAAUAAAACUAUACUAUAUAAUGGGGCUAUGCACGAGUGGCUUUAAGCUUGCUUCAACUGACAGUGGCUACUUGUCUAUUAUUUGGAGACAAGAGACUAAUUUAUGUACCUAUUAUUGUUUAAUCAUUUCCAUCAACAUCGACUUGAACAUGUGCAUGCAAUUAACAUGGUUGAGUUUAUUAAUUUCUUGUCGUGCAGGAGGCAGGCAAGAUCUGCAAUCUCAACCUGUACAUAGUUUGCAACUUAUAGAAAAAUGGGUGGAGUUUUAAUGAUCAAUGCAGGAUGACUAAGCUGUGAGAAUAACUGAGAGACAGUUUUCGUUAAAUAAUGGGAUCUUUUAAACACAAAAUUAAAAACAGAUUAAAAUAAAAGUCAAAAUAAUUGGAGUAAUAAUGGCAAGGGGUAGGACAAGAUCCACUUUCGUAUCCUUUGCUCCCUUUUCUCCUCACAGAACCGAAGAAACUAUUGUGAUCGACAGACUAUGAUUUAUUUUCUUAAAGCGUGUGAGAUAUGCAUGUAUCUACCAUGUCAUAGUCAAAGUAAUCAAAUUGUUAAAACUUAUCAAAACAGGAAUCCUGACAGCUCAUGCAUUCAUAGCAGAAUCGCAUCAAAUCUGGAAUUUGGGUUUGGAGUUGGAAUUCCAGUAUCUAUAAUCUCGUAAAAAGAAAAGUUCAACUUGAAAGUUCAGAUAUUGGUGGACAAGAUUUAAUGAAAAGAGAGAAAGUUGGUGGACCGAAGACUGUAUAAUUUUUUGUUUUAACAAUAGUUGUAUACAUGUAAGUUAUAAUUAUGUACAAGUUUACAAUGCCAAGAUUUCAACAGUUGACAAUGUUUAGAACAGUGACUCUAGCUUUGAUCAAACGCCUGAAGAAGCUUUCAAGACCUUCUUCAAGGUCUUGGAUGCACAACUCUGAGUUUUGGAGCUCAUUUUGCACAUUCUCAACAUGCUUCACGUUUCCAGAUUUAAUGAAGGAACGCAAUGCAGCUUCAGCAUUCGCGAUUUCAUUUGUUUUCUCUUCUUCUUCCUCGCACCAUACGCUUUUCUGGUGCAUUAACUUUGAAACUAGUGACCACCGGCUCGAUGCCUCUGGCCCUGAAAUAAAGGACAACAAGGAUUGUAACACGCCCAUGGUGGCUGCUACUACUUGUUUUAAGGUGCUAAUCACGGCUCCGGUCUCACCGUCUUUGCUCAUAAGUUUAUUGUCCAUAUGCUUCAAGUUCUUGAAGGCCUUGCUUAUUGCCUUUCUCACUUCCUUCUUGGAGGUUAAGUAUUUUCUAACCUCAUCACCAAGCCCUUCAACUCCUCCUCGUCUUCGGCGCAAAACCGAUUGGAGUUCUUGAGUGCAUUCCUUGGUUCGCAACAAGGCAUCUUUAGCGGUUCCGCAUACAUCCAGGAGCACGAGAGAUGCAUCCAAAACUUGUUCAACCGAUUUCCUUUGCUGGUCUUGAGCUAGAGCUUGUUGAGUGAGGGGAAACUGAAGCAACAUAUCCACAUAGUCGUACAAAUCUUGAAGACAGGCCAGUUCAUGUCCUGUGGAUGACGAAGAUGUAGAGGCCGAUUGAGAUGCCCUGAAUCGGUUCAGAUUUUCAUCAAUUUGGGAAGUGAUGGGGUGUUGCCUUGAAGGCAAGCUGUUUGAGCGAGCAUGGAAAGAAGGUUGGACAUUCAAAGGAGAGGCAGCCAUUUUCUUUGUUUUAGAGAAGAAAGAAGGCCUUGCAAUUGCAAUUGUGUGUUUCAACUCACUCUACCUAUUUGCUGUCUUCCCAUUGUCAUCUGCUGAAUAUAUAUAUAUUACAGGCUGAGGGUGGACAAGAAGAAUCUCAUCCUCUUUAAAUAUCAAUUACAAGUAACAUGAACUUGAUUUGGAUCUACAAAAAUGUUCAUGUGUUGUCUCCUUUCCACCGUCAAAACAACUCAUUACCCUUUAGCAAAUACAAUCAAAACUUAUCUUCAAUACCAUGAUAAUAAUAUAAAAAUAUACAAAUACACACGAUGGUGCUGAGAAAGUAUAUAGGCAAUGGCCAUUUGCUUUUCCGUUCUUCCCUUAUAUUAAUACCUCAUUGCUUUCAACUUGUCUGCUGGUUAUCACCUUACGUUUGGCUAAAGGGAGGCAAGAUCCGCGUGCUUGACUUGUAUACUAUAAUUUUUAGCAGGAAAGCAUUUCUUGAAGAUUCGAUUGUCCCUUAACUAACAAUUUUUUAUGAUGCAGCUCGUGUAUGAUCUGAAUCAACCAUGUGAAUGUCAAUUGAAUUUUUUAUUAGUGUCUAAUAAUGUGUUUGUGGAUUGAGACGGUAGGAUUCUUGACAUUGAAGAAGAUGAUUCAGGGAUAGUCAAGAAGAGUUUAACAACCUUCCCUCAAUUGAAACAUCAAAGAAACAUUUGAAUUUAUGGCAUAAAAAAGUCGAAAGUUAGAAAAUCAGUCUUGAGUUUCUUGCUAAGUUGGUGUUUAAAACAGAAUGGAGCUUAAUCCAGACAAAUGGGAAAAAAAGGUGCAGAUAAAUGCUAGAAAAUGAUAUUGUAGUAUCAAAACUGCAUUUCAUUCAGUAUAUAUAUGUAUAUCUCAUGUCUGUACAAGAUUGGUGUUUACAAAAUUUUCUAAUGAUUGAGUGCGUUGAGAAGGGACACCCUAGCUUUGAUCAUACACCUGAAGAGGCACUGAAGUCCAUCUUCAAGAUCUUGAUAAAUUUAAAGUAACGCUGGUAGGCAAAGGUUUCAUACCAAAAUAAAGAAUUGAUUACUUUGAUACCUAUGACGAUUACACUCUUAAUAUCACCAAAUAAAUGUUAAAAUUGUACUUUUAAAUUGUGAAUUAGAAGAGGAUAUGUACAUGGAACAAUCAGAAGGAUUUAUUGUUACAAGAGAAAGGUAUAAAGUAUGUAAGCUUGUUAAAUCUCUAUAUUGACAUAAACAAGCACUAAAACAAUGACACCAAAAGUUUGACAAAGGUGUUCUAGCUAAUGGUUAUAAAAUAAACGAAUCUUAUAAGUGCAUAUAUAGAAAAUUUUGACAAAGUUGUUCUAGUCUAAGAGAUCCAUCCAACAACUCAUCAACAAACCCCUUGUUUUGUUCUUGAGUUAAUUCUUGAUGGGAAUAAGGGGCAAUUGUAGCAACUUAUCCACACAAUCAUACGAACCAUGAAGGUUGUUUAGUUGAUGGCUUAUUGAUGAUGAGGUUGAUGUUGCUUCGAAAUCCCCUCAUCUGUUCAAAUGUUAAUCAAUCUCUAAAACAACUGUGUAUGGUCUAGAUGGCAGAGAGAAGCUAUUAGAAUGAGCAUGGUGAAUUGUUUGGGCUGUCAUUUUUCUUUCUUCUUCAGGGAAAUAGCCUAAUGGUUGAAUGUUUCUACCUAUUAUUUGCUAUGUGGAAGUAAGCAUCAACUCCAUUUUAUAUAUACAUCAGGUCAUAGAGACAAAAGAAAUCUCAAGUACUUCGUUAAUAAAUUAUUUUUAUCUUUUCUUUCAAUUUGGAUCUCGAUCUGAACACUUUGUCAGCACUAUUUAUGCGAAAUGUCUUCCCUCAACUAUGUUGGAACAUUUUCAAAUAUUAAUAUUGUCCCAAUAACUAUAAAUGAAAAGAUGGAAUUAAUCAAAAGUUAUAACUAUUGGUUAUUAAUCAAGAGUUAUAACUAUUUAUAAUAAUAAGUUCAGUCUCUUAAGUAUGAAGGUUAUAUCACUUGAUUUUUUUAUAAUGAAUUAUAACUAUUCAAGUUGUAUUACUUAAACAAUUAUGUUUAUUUAAGGGAUGCUACUUAGAUAAUUGUAUCUCUUACUAUAAUAAUUAUAUCUAUUUCAGAGAUAUUAGUUGAAUAAUUAUGUUUUUUUAAAGAUGUAAUUAUUCAUAAAAGACACCUAUUAAAAGUUAUGUCUCUAUGAAAAUAUAUUCGAUUAUUUCCUUGAUUCAUUCUCCGUUGAGUUCUCCGUUAUAACUUUCUACAGCCUAAUGGCUAAGGAUGUUGAGAACAGAAACUCUAGUUUUGACCAAGAGCUUCAACAAGCACCCCACUCCAUCUUUAAGAUAUUGAAUGCUUGGCAACAUCAAUGCUCAUUUUACCAUUUUUUCUGGUCUUGUUACCAAUAAUAGAGCUCAAAACUGCAUCCACUUUCUCGAGUUCAUUGGUUUUCGUUGCUUCUCCCUCGUGUGUUAUGCGUUUGGAGCUCAUCAACUUGGACAGUAAAGACCAAUUGGUCGAUUUUGAUUCCAUCUCUGUGCAAUCGAUAUGAGAAAAGAGGGAUUCAAACACUGUGAAUACAACUCCUUGUACCUCUUCCAACAUGCUAAAUGCGGCCUCAACAUCGUUUUUUGAUAGAGCAAAGCAACAUUUACAAGCUUUUCAGAGACUUGUUUCUUAACUUCUUUGCUUUCUUGCUUGAAGCCAAGUAUUCCUUAGCUUCAUAUAUGAAACCAGCUUCAUCACCUCUUCUUCUUCUCAAAAUUGAUUGAAGUUGUUGGGUAUCUUCCUUGGCCUGCAAUAAAGCAUCCUUAGCCACACCACAAACAUCCAAGAGCUUGAGAGACCCAUUCAACAACUUGUUAAUCUACUUUUCAUUAUAUUGUUGUGCUAAUGAUUUUUGUCUAAGUGGCGGUUGAAGCAAAUUAUCAACCAACUCACAAGAUCUAUAAGGCCGCCUAGUUUUUGGCUCAUUUCUAUUUCUAUAUGAUAUUGGAAUUAUUAUAAUAAUGAAUUUUUUUCAAGAAUUAUGGAGUAAAAGGACUAAAAAGGAAAAGUUUUUGCACCAGAUUUUAUUACCUUGUUUGUGAAAGGAAAAUGUCAAAAUAUAAAUAAUAAGAUACAUUAUUGUUAUAUUAUAGAAUUUGAUCCAUUUACAUUUGAACAGAUAAUGAAAUCUCAAGAUGCUGCUUUUUGAAAAGAAGCAAUAAAUAAUGAGAUGGAUUUAAAAAAUGGAAAAUUAAACAUAGAUUUUAGUUAAUCUUCCGCAAUUUUCCUCAUCAAAGUUUCGUACUAACAAUUUUAAGGUUCUACACUAUUUUCAUUAUGGCUAAUGCAACACAUGAAAGUGCAACACUAAGGGAUUUGGCUUUCAAUUUUGUCAAGCUUGACCAGUUUGAUUGUGGCAAUUUCUGAUAAUGGCAGAAAAGGUGCAAUUCUUACUAUCUACUUUGAAGUUUACUUAUGUUUUGGAUACUCCAAGACUGGAAGAGAAUAGAAACAAAUCUCUUGUUUCAACAUGAGAAAUUAAAAAAUGAGACUGUUAAUUUCAUAUGGAUAAGUCACAUAUUGAAUGAUUUAUUUGAUGGUUUAUUUGAUAGCUACCAAAACGAGGUCACUGCUAAGGAAUUAUGGGACAAAUUGGAGAUAAUAUACAUGAUCGAAAAUGAUACAAGUAAAAAUUUUCUUGUUUUUCAUUUUAAUAAUUAUCAAAUGAUUGAUGAUCGUUUUGUUAUGGAACAAUUUCAUGAUAUUGAAAAUAUGUUGAAUCAGUUUAACCAAUAUGAUAUGAGAAUGAAAAAUUUUGAUUGUUGUAUCUUCCAUUAUAGACAAGCUUCCUUUAUCUUGGGAAGACAUUAAAAGAAUAACUUACCAGUUAUUACCUUUUGGCGUCUAACUAAUUAAUUAAUCGACCAAUACACACUUAUCUUUUGACCUCAAUUUCUUGAUCGGGAUAACUUCUGUUUUACUAAGUAAACUUAUCUUUCGACCUCUUUUAUCCUAAAUUACUUCCUAGGGUUGUUAAUCCUAAGGUUUAAUCACACAUAAUUUAAACCAACUAAUUUGAAAACAAACAUUAAUUCUUCCACUAAUUAUUCCCAUAUCCGAUCAUUAAUCUCCGUAAGGAAAUUAACCGUUCAUAGAUCUAGACACAAUUUUCCCUAAUUUCAUAUUAAACAUGCAAAUAAAAUAAUUAAAUAGAAAAAAGGGAAUAAAGAAAUUGAUCCAUUUUGAUAUCGAUUUGUACACGAAAGCUGAAAUUCCUUUGACAGUUACGAAGAUUGUGUCGUUUGUAAUUGAAAACCAAAAAGAAAGUAAUAAAAAUGCAAUAACGAAAACCAAGUGAGAACAAAGGAAAAGUUCUAUUUUUGAAUAAAAGGACUAAAUUGAAAUAAAACUAAAGCUAAAAAUAAAUUCCUAAAAAUCUAAUCUAAAACGGCUCACUCGGCCAAGCUUCCAAACCUAGGCUAAACAUCAAUAUUUAUAGCCAAACGUUAUGUCCUAAUUAGGUCAAUUAGAAACCCUAAAGCUAAAUAAGAUGUGUUGUGCAGACGAAAAGACCCUUGACUUAAAAUUGCAUAUUGUUGCUCUGGUGUCGCGACACUGUACUUUGUAGGUGACUUCUUUGGCUUCAAAGUGUGGUGUUGUGAUACCACAUAAUGGUCUUGCAAUGGUGUCAUUAUUCUUUGUAUUCUUAGCCCAAAAACAGUGUCUUGCACACUAGAUCGACAUGUUAGUCCUUCCCUAGGCCCAUAUUGGCUCGUGAUAAGUGCUAAAAGUAACAUAUUUUUACCUCAUUCUUAAUGCAUUUUUCGGUGAUUAUUCGAUGUCAACUGUGAAUUUUAUGCUCCUAAUCCUUUAAAUUCAUGUUUUUAUGCUUAAUAAAGCACUUGGGAUUAAAAUGAGUAAAAAACGAGCGAAAAUCAAAAAAUCAAAACAAGCUACAGGAUUCACAAGGGCUGACCCAUUCCACACGGUCGUUGACCCACACGGGCUACCACACAGCCAUGUGGUAGACCAUGUCGAUUGUGCGAAUUUGCACUCUAAAAUGCAGAAAAACACAUUUUUAGGUUUUUCGGACAUUCUAAGACGUUUAUAUGACAAAAAUAAAAAGAUGGGAGAGAGCCACCAUAGAAUAUUCAAGAAAGCAACUUGAAAAACACCAUUGAAGCCGAUUCUGAAGUAGAUUUCUGUCAAGAUUGAAGAUUCUCAGUUUAUUUUGAGGAUAUUAUCAUGAAUUUCUUUAUUUCUUUUGGUUAUAUUGUAUCUUGAACGCUUUUAUUUUCAAGCAUAAGAUAAUUUUAUAAAUACCUAGGGAGAUGAAUCCUAUGAUGGAUUCUGUCAUUUGAUUUUUAUUUUACGCAGUAGAGACUUAGUUUCCUAUUCUCAAUUAUGUAUGCUUAAUUCUUGGUUUGAUAUUUCUAGACUACUAAUCCAUGUUUGAUGUGCUUAAUAAUAGAUCUUGCGUAAUUGAGUGGAGUUGCAUGCAAUCCUAGAAAUAAGAUGACAUAAAUCUACCGGAUUAGAAUCAAAUCUAAUAGUAGAAUUCAUUGCACAAGGUAAUGUGAUAAUAGAUUUUUUAAUUAGAAAGAAAAUUCAAUUAAUCAACCUAGAGUCAGUUGCUCUUAUUCUCGAAAGAGAUAUUAGGAUAAUUUAGGGAUUUCUACAGAUCAAGUUACUAAGUAAAGAAAUUAUGUAAUUUAGUGUAAUGACCCAAAAUUUACGGGCAUCGUAAAAGUACAUUGUUGGGCCUCCGUCUUAGCAAAGUGGGUUCGUAAAUAAUUAUUAGGAAUACUUAGUCUAGUAGUGUGUUUAAUUAGGAUUUAAUUAGGUGAAUUUAGCUUAAUUUAGGGUAAAUAGUAAAAAGAACUAAAUUGAAUUAGGGGUAAAAGUUGAAUUAUAGAUUAAUAGAAAAUAAAAAAAUUAAAAUGACAAUUAAGCCAUUAACAAGAAAUGAGGUGGCAUAUAUGUAAUAAAAAUCUAAGAUUUUUAUGUUAUAUUUUAAUUAUAAAAUUAAUUAUUUAGAUAUAAAUUAUAUUAAAUUAAUUUAAAAUAAUUAUAUUAUAAGAUUUUUAUAUGAUAAAUAAAUUGAAAUUAUGACAAGUGGAUGGUGGUGAUAAGGUACAAAUGUAAAAUACAUAUGUUUACAUUUGUAAUACAUAUAUUUGUUAUGAAAUAGAUAUUUAUUGUUAUAAUUAUUAAAUACUAUUAUUGUUUAUAUUAUUAUUUUUAUUAUUAUAUUAUGGAAUAAAUUAAGAAAAGAUAAAUGUAGGGUGUAAAAAUUAUACAUGUGUCAUGCAUAUAUUUACACACUUGUAAAAUAAAUAUAUAAUUACUUAAAAUUUAAGUAUAAAGAUAUAGAUAUUAAUUAAUUAAAUAUAAAACAAAUAAAUCAAAUGGUGCCAAAUGUAGGGUGACAAAGUUGAACAAAUGUAGUAAAAUAUGUAUAUACUCUUGUAAUAUUAUUAAAAGAUAUUUAUCAAUUAAAUAAUUAUUAAUAAGUUAUAUUAUUAUAAUAUAAAGUAAAGAAAUAAAAACGAAACAAAAUAAAAAGAAAGGAGAAAGAAGCAGAGAGCAUUUCGAAAUAGAGCAGAAGAAAGGAGAAAAAUAAAUAUAAAAGGAAAAACUAGGGUUUGAGGCUUUAAGCUUUAAUUUGGUAACUCAAUAAAGUUCUUUUCUUUUAUUUUUGAUGUUUUAGAAGUCUUAGAACAAAGUUUUGUUGAAUUUAAGUUAAAAUUUUGAAAGUUCUUAGAUUUUUGAACAUGAUUCAUGUUGAACAAAUUGUUGAAUUAGGGGUUUGAUUGAUAGAAUUUCUAGUUAGAAUUGAUAAAAGGAUUAAAUUGAAAGAAAUUUAAAAUUAGGGUUUAUUCAUGGACAUUAGAUAGUUAAGUUGAAUUUGGUAGGAAAUGGAGUAGAAAUAAAGUAUGAAUUUAUUUAGAAAAGUAAGUGAAUUUAAUUAAGACCAAAUUGAAAUUAAGGUAGAAAUUGAAUAGAAAUUUAAUUAUUUAAUAUAAAUUAGUAUUGUAUUAAUAUUGUAAAUUAUUUUAAUUUCCGUAGCUAACAAAGAACCAGGGACAUCGGCACAGAAGGGAAAAGAGAAGGUUAUCGAGGACUGAAUCGAGAAAAUUCGAGUUUGUAUUACUAUAAUUCAAAUUAUUUAUUAUUAAAUGUUAUAUUUAAAUUUAUACGGAUGGUAAGUGAAAUAUAUGGUAAUUAUUAUUAUUAAGUUGAAAGAAAUUCAAUUGAAUGAUGAAUAUAUGUGUGGAAUUGAAUCGAAUAUUGACUUGAAAAUGGAAAAGUGAAUUUUGAAUCGAAUUGCGAUUGAAAGUGGAAAAAAUGAAAUUGAAUUAAAAUGUGAAUUUGGAGACCUUAUUAACUAGUCAAACUAAGUCAGAUAUAGUUCACAUGCCAUAGGAUUUGGAAGAGUACAGGAUUUAUCGGCUUUGCCGGUCAGGCACUUUAUGUGUCGUAUAUCAGGCACUUUAUGUGCCGUAUAUCAGGCACUUUAUGUGUCGUAUCAGGCAACUCGUGUGUCGUUUCAGGCACUUAUGUGUCGUAUACUGAUUAGGUACUAUGUACUGUUUUAGGCACAACGUGCCGUACUGCUGUGUUUGGUUGGAAUUCGUGUAUCCGCCAAGGUCCAGGUUUGUUAAUAGGGUGAAUAACUGAAAUGGAAAAAAUUUAAAUGAAUUUGAUUGAUUGUACUUUUGAAAAUGUGAGAAAGUUGAAUUGUGUAUUAAAAUUGAGAUUGGAAAUUAAAGGCAUGAACUUAAUGUUCAUGUAGUGAUUGAAAUUGAGACAUAUGAUAUGUGAAUGAAAUUGAAGAAUAGAUAAAAAAAUUAUAUUGUUAUUGUUAAUUAAUGAAAGCUUAAGAAUGAAUUGUUAUUUGAAAAAUUGGAUAAUAUAUAUGCUUGACAAUUAUAUUCCAUUAUUAUUAUUAUUAUUAUUAUUAUUGAGUUAUGGUAAUACCACUGAGUCUACCCAUACUCAGCGUACGAUUGUUUCCGUGCGCAGGUCAGUAGAAGUCAAAAGUCUCGGCCCAACAUCCAAACGAUCUCGACUCCAGCACAAAAAUUUUGGUGAUAUGUUUUCUUCCUUAAUGAAAGUGGCAUGUGUCGAAACCAGUUUUAAAUUAUUUUGAAAAAAUGGGGAUUGACUUUAAAAAGACAAUGGAGUCGCCACCGAUCUUUUAUUAAGGUGUGAUCGGUUCACCAUUAGAAAUAUUUUUUAGACCUGCGAAUUUUGAGAAAACAGGUUCGGGAGUCGGUUACGCACGAGGAAGGGUUAGCACCCUCGUGACGUCCAAAAUUGGUACCGAAUUGAUUGUUUAAUGUCUUAAUGUCGAAAUUUAGAAAAGAUUUCAAAUACGAUCCUUUUUAUUUUGAAUAAAUUGAAUAAUAAAACAUUCUUAUUUCAAAGGAAACGAAACGACACACCCAAUACGUUAGGGCACGACAUUUUAAUCCUCGAGAAUAAGUUUGUCUUUUGAUUUUCAAAACUUGCGUGGUGAGAUUUUAAAAGGAUAUUCAAUUGCUUUGAGUCAAAUGAAAAAAUGAAACCCAAUACGUUAGGGCACGAUUUCUCAAAGUUCUUAGCAUUGAAUAUUACCCUUAUUAUUAUUAUUAUUUUAAAAACCUCAUUUCGAGAAAACGACGUAUCACAUCCAAUACAUUAGGACACAACUUAUCGAGUUCCCGAGAUUGAGUUUUAUGUAUUUUGAUUAAGGAAACUUUCGAUUAUUUAGAUUCAACGAGGAGAAAUAAGACCCAAUACAUUAGGGCUCGAUCCUCUCGGGGAUUCCAAACAUCGGGAAUUGCCUUUAUUUUGAAAGUUCUCGAAUAAAUUGGUUUGGUUACUCAAAUGACAUUAAACAUAAUUCUUUAAACCAAAUAAAAAUAAAAGGUUAAAAAUACUAUAUACAAUGCAAAAUGACGAUUCAUAAACCUAAACGUAUAUUAAAGCAUAUCAAACAAUCAAUACAUAUAUAACAAUAUAAUAUGCCAAAGGUAAGAGUCUCAUAUUAUAUGCUGAUGGAAUAAUAAGAAUCAAAUGGAAUAUCGGAUAAAUUGAUAUACAAUUUUGAUAUGGACUAAAAAACAUGCAAGAAAAAAAAAAUAAUAAAAUCAAUAAAUCACAUGCAUAAAAUUUCAUCGCAAACAAUAUAUAUAUGUACAUGCGAAUUUAAAAUGGAUUUAAAAGAUGAUGAAAGAAAUACCAUUUGGAAUUAUAAAACAAAAUGAAUUUUACAAAAUGAUAAAAAAAAAUUAAAAAAUACAUACGACAUACCCAACAUAUACCUAUAUUAAUAUAAAUAGGUUACCACGCAUACGAAAUGAGCAAUUAAUAAUAAUACAAAUAAUACUAGGGUUAAUAAUAUUAAUAUUAUUAUUAGAUUAAUUAUUAUAAAAAAAUGAAGUGAAUCAAAUCAGCUCAAAAACAGAAUUGAAAGAACCCAAAUGAAAAUAAAAUAAAACGAAGGGACCAAAUGCAAUGUGCGGACAACCUGGAGGACCAAACGGGAAAUAAUCCUUGUCUCCCCAUAACGCUGCAUAUAAUCUGGACCCAGAUGAAAUAGAGGCAAAAUGUAGCACCAAAUUCACAAAAAAAAGAAAAAGAUGAUUUGGAAACGCCCCGGAAGAAGGAGGACCGAAUAAGCAAAUAACCCUACCAAGACCAUGACGCGCGGAUCUCAGCCGCUUCUGGGUCGGGUCAUCGGGUUAAGAUUAAACGGUGCCGUUUCGAGAGCUGUUAACCCUAGCCCAAAACGACGUUGUGCGACCACCUAUUUAAACUAAAAAAUUUUGGUAACUCAGUUACCCUAACAACAAAAAUGCAGAAAAAGGAGGUGCCCCCUUUUCCUCAUCUAUGCCUAGGUUUCACCCUAGUUUCCCAUUGCCGAAAGCUCCGUCGGUUUCCGGCCUCAUAGCCCUCGUCCGUACUUCGAUUGUGACGAAGUGAACGAGGCUUCGAUCGCCACUGCCCCAAAGGUAAAUCUCCCCUCCGUUUCUUUUAUUUUGCAAAACUAUCACUAGUAAUCACACAUCAAAGAAGACGGAGAAGACAAGAAAAAAGAGUCACCUUUAGCAAUUUUUCUUUGAUUUCCUUUCUACUAUUUCUUUUGUAUUUUUUCUCGUAAAAAAAUUUACAAAGGCCUCGACAUUCGUUUUAUAGGCCGGGAAAAAGUGAAACAAAAAUGAAAAAAUAAAAAUACAAUUUUUUUCUUUUCUACUGCGUCGUUGGCUUUGUUUGCAGGUCGUUGCAGGUGCGAGGCCGUACGGUGAUGUGGCACGGCUCGGCGCGGCGUAUGGGAGCUACUGCUGCGGUGGCUGGAGUUGAGUGUUGGCGUUUCAGCCUUGGGUUGUAUUGGGCUAACGGCUCGGGCUAGGGUUAGGUGUUAAGUUGGUAUUUGGGUCUAGGUAAUUUUUGGGCUGAGUUGGGCUUAUUUCACUUCUGGGUAUUUAGUUUAUUUUUAUAAUUGGGCUGUAUAUUGUAAAACAGACUGUUUAUUUGGACUUUUAAUUUUGUUUUUAUAUUUAGCUUAGGGACCGGGCAAAAAAUGGGUAUUACAGCUGAUAUGUUUUCUUCCUUAAAUGAAAGUGGCAUGUACAUAGGUGUUGCAAUGGUCACUUUAUAAUGUUAUAUAACAUUGGUUGUAAUGAAUGAUAUUUGGUGUUUUGAUACUAAGUUUAAUAAAAUGGUAUGACAAAUUUGGUAAGCUUGGGUAACAAACCUGGAAAAAAACAAUUUCCAAGUGCCUGAAUUAGUCCUAAAUCACUCAUAACUAGUAUUUUGGGCCUCCAGGGUCCAUCUAAGGGACUUGAAGCUUAUUUUAUAUUAUGUUCGAUAAUUAUUUGUAUACUAAUUGUAAAUCGUCCGAUAAGUCUGGUAAUGCUCUAUAACCCUAUUUCGGUAAUAGUUUGGGGUUAGGGGGUGUAUCAUUUAGAUUGAUAGUAACAAAUGAAAUCUAGGUGAAUUCUUUCUUAGGUAUUGUUUUGUUUCUUGGUUGUUAAUCGAUUAUUUUCGUGAUUUAUUCUUUGUUGUGUUCAUUAGUUAAUUAAUUUAGUUAAUUUUUGUUUUUAAUCAAUCACUCGAUUUAUUUGGUUAAAUAAUAAAAAGACAGUAAUUACUAGUACAUUUAGUUUUGAAUCAAUCAUCCGAAUUUCUCCUAGGGUGGUCAAGAAAGUCAAAGAUCAUAACCCCCUUAUGGGUUUUCAGCAACCUUAUCAGCAAGAAAAAAAAAGCCAAAUCUAAAAUAGAUGUUAAUGAAAUUUAUUUCAGUGUUAGAAACUAGAUUCAAGAACACUGAAACAACUUUGAGGAAUCAUCAAGCAUCUAUUCAGGGACUUGAGAAUUAGACUAGUCAGCUUGGUAAAUUGGUUUCGGAGAGACAACAAGGCAAUUUACCCAGUAACACUAAAACCAACCGAAAAGAGCAAGUCUGCGUAAUCACUGUACGAAGUGGAAAGGUGCUAAUCGAACCUUAAAAGAAGCUGAAUCUAGAAGCUAUUGAGAAAAAUGAAGCGGUUGAGGAAAGUAAGAAAGAGCAUAAGCAAGUGGUCAAAGAAUACAAACUGCCAAUUCCAUAUCUGACAAAAGUGAAGAAAGACCGCAUGAAUGAACAAUAUGGUAAAUUUCUUGAACUUUUGAAAAAACUACAUAUUAACUUACCUUUUGUUGAAGUUCUUUAGUAGAUGUCAAAGUAUACAAAAUUUUUAAAGGAGUUGUUAACAAAUAAAAAGAAGUUAGAUGACCUGUCCAUUGUGGAGCUCAAUGAGGAGUGUUCGACCAUUCUCCAAUAAAAAACUACCCACCAAGCUUAAAGAUCCAGGGAGUUUUACUAUCUCUUAUUUUAUUGGUAGCUUAAAUGUGGAAAAAGCUUUGGCUGAUUUGGGUGCUAGUAUAAAUUUGAUGCCUUAUAAAAUGUUCAAACAACUUGGUCUCAAGGAACCAAAACCCAAUAAGAUGAGUAUUCAAUUAGCUUACAAAUCAAUUAAGUAUCCUAAGGGCAUUAUUAAAGAUGUACUUGUUAAAGUCGAUAACUUUAUAUUCCCUGUUGAUUUUGUUAUAUUAAACAUGGACGAGGAUAUUGAGGUACCCAUAAUCUUAGGUUGACCCUUUUUAGCCACUGCUAGAACUGUUAUUGAUAUAGGUAAUGGUGAACUUUUGCUAAGGGUAGGUGAUGAAGAGGUUACUCUUCAAGUACAUGAAUUUGUGAGAGUUUCUAGUGAGUGAGAUGAUACUCGUUAUUUUGAUAAUGUUAGUAAUUGUGUGACUCAAAAUUCUUUGCAGGAAAUCACUAAUGAAAACAUGUUAGAAUUGUAUCCUGUUCAAGGUGAUAAAAGUUAAGGGACAAGUGGAGAACGAAUGGUGCAACUUGAUGAAUUAGACAAAUGGCAACCAAAGGCUUAUGAGAAACCAAGAAUGUUCAAAGAAGUAACAAAGAAAUGCCAUGGUGUGCAUUUAAAAUGGAUGAACAAAUUCAAAGUAGGAGACAAAGUGUUGCUACACAAUUUAGAUCCAAGAAUGUUCCUUGAUGAGCUUAAAUCAAGAUGGUCAAAUUUUUUAUGGUACAAAAUGUAUUCUUGUACCAAACCUUUGAGGUAACACACCCUGAUUACGACACAUUCAAGGUAAAUGGUCAUCGACUCAAAAUUUAUUUUAGUGGUCGUACUAAUAACAAAAGAGAAUAGCUCCAACUCCAAAAUCUGACUUAACCGUGAGCUUCAAAAGGGAAGUUGAGCUAAGACUCUAAAUAAGUGUUUUUCAAGAGGCAACCAAAGCAUUUUAUUUAUUUGACUUUCAUCUAAUUAAGUUGCACGUUUAGUAUAAUAUUUUUAUUACUUUAAAACAAUUAUCCAGUAUAUUUAUUUCUAUUACUAAAAUAAUCAAAACAAAAAAUGGACAAAACGGUCUAGGGUGAUUCACACAGCCUGGUCACACAGUCUUGUGUGACACACGGGCAUGUCAUAGGCCGUGUGAAUACUAGAGCGAAUUUUUUCCAACUUUCUUUUGAUAACAUGGUCACACAGAGUUACACGGCCUUAAGACAUAGCCGUGUGACACACAUUCCUUGGCACGGGCAUGGGAGAAGCAAACAAUGACCUCACACGGCCUACAUCAACCCAUAUAGCCUGGACACGUGGGCGUGUCAUAGACAGUGUGACUACUGGAGUGAAUUUUUUUAAUUUUUUUUGCAUAACACACAUGAUCUAAGUGAGGUCACACAAUCUGGCGAUAUGGUCGUGUGACCUACAUGACCAUGCACACGAUCAUGGUAAAAGCGAACAAGAGCAUCACAUGAGCUAAGAUAGGCCAGACAACAUGGUGACAUCACCAUGUUGGACACAUGGGCAUGUCAUAGGCCAUGUGAAUACUAAAGCUGAUUUUUUUAAAAUUUUUGAGAGACACAUGUACUAGGUGUAAGUACACGGCCGUGUGGCCCACAAGGCUUGACAGAUGAUCGUGGACCUCUUUAAAGUUGCAAUUUGUAUUUUUUAUUUAUUUUCUCCCUUAUUCCUCAUCAGUCGUCAUUAUUUAAAACCCUCACCCCGCCGUCGAUCGCCACCUUGGCAUUCAACCUCUGCCGUUGUUCCCUUUUUGUCAUUUCCUUCACCAAUCUCUUUGGUCCCUAAUAUCCCUCCUAAAAAUCCACUCUUCUCCCUUACUUUCUGAACUCACCACCGGUCUCCCACUCCCUAUAUCUAGUUUUGUUUAAUAAAACCACCGCCCAAGAUUACACGCCACCGAUCGACCAUUCCUCACCCAUCCCCUUCUCUUUUCAAAUCAUAAGCUCACCACCGCUAAAUUCUCUUUUCCCCCUCUCCGUUCAUCAACCCUUUCCCCCUUUCCCCAUCUUUUGUUUCUCUCUCGCUGCUGAUGGCACCUUACCUUUCCUCUUCACUGCCAAUCAAUCAUCCUUAGACCACUUCGCCCACAAGCCACCGUCGUUAGUCCCUUUUUCUUUAUUAUUUUUAUGUUUGUUAUUAUUAUUAGGAACGUUAGUUAUAUUAUUGUUUUAUGCAUUCGAUUAUUGUUAGUAGCAGAUUUUUUUUCAUUUUUUAUGUUAUUAUUAUUAUUUUCUUUAGAAUUAGUUAUGUUUUAAUUAGGAAUCGGUUUUCGUCGUAAGGAGUAUUGCACUCCGUUAGUUGUGUGUCGUAUGUCAAUCAGUUCAUCUACUAGACUAGUUCAUUGAUUGGUGUUCAACUUUCUGGCUCUGUGCAUGCUAAAUCUUUAUGUUACAAAUUCGAUGUUUUGGGUUAAUUUCUGUCGGUACAAUUUUUUUUGUUUUUUAUAUUUUUGUCUGAUAAUUGUUACCCAUAUCACCUAUAUUCAUAUGAUAUGAAUUUUAUCGAUGUUGAUUAUGCCCCUGUCAAUAAUUCACUAUUGUUCUGAUAGUUGAUUGUCUUUUUCUUUUAUUAGGUACAUGAUGUCGAACAAACCAGGAAAAAUUAAGGUACCCACUCAUUCCAAGGAAAAAAAGCUAUUGGAACUUCAUCUUCGUCAUUUCUGACCGCAACCACUAUACUCCGAUACCUUAUUUUUUACCAUCAACCCCAUGAGGAGAGGUACCAGUAUCUAAAGGACAGAUCAUUGGGUUUGGUUAGGUGUAUUGACUAGGAAGCCCUUUAGACUGUGGGUUUAUUUGCUCCGGUUCAUACUCUUUUGGAAGCGACUCCAUGGGAAUGGUUCCUCGCGAUCGUGGAGCCGACAUAUACUGAGGUUACCUUGGGGUUUUGCUCCACUUUUUUUCCUACAUACAGUGCUAUUGUGAGGGGACGAACCACAUGUGAUCUCAUUCUAUCAUGGCGGCAUCACUCAGUAUUUGAACAUUGCAGGAUUUGGAGUCACACAUUGUACCACCAUUAACCCGUUGUUUUUUUCCCCUUCCUACUGCCACACCUUGUACCACCAUUAACCUGUUGUUUUCUUUUUGUUUCUCUAUGUAGUCGUCGUACAUUGAACCGUUGAACCUCUCUUGAUUAUUCCCUUCCGCUGUCGUCACCUCUACUACUAUUUGGGUUGUCGAUCUUCCUUCCUUCCUUGAGGGAUUCCUUAUUCAUUCGAUACACUAUUGGUG
rnacentral:lncRNA from 1 species